UCUAUGAUGCUGAUUUCGGUUGGGGUCGACCUAUUUUCAUGGGGCCUGGUGGAAUGGGAUAUGAGGGGUUGGCUUUUGUGUUACCAAGUGCAACAAAUGAUGGAAGUUUAUCGGUGGCCAUUUCUCUGCAAUCUCAACAUAUGCAAUCAUUCUCCAAGUUGUUGUAUGAGAUAUAAGGACAUGAAAUGCGUCGAAUGGGGGCAAUACGUUGAACAGACUUCGGGCUUCUGUGUGUGUCCUCUGAGUUCUGGGACUUUUCAUUGACUCUAGCCUAGCUGAUCGGAAAGCAGCUGUUUUUGAAAAGUUCAAGUGGUCUUUUGGUUAAUCUAUAUUAGAGUAUCUGUUUUAGAAACAACCUAGUACUGAAUAAGAUUGUCAGAGUAUCUGUGAGCUUUGUUUAUUGCUGUGGAGGACUUCUUUUUCGGAGUAUCUGUAGUUUACUGUGAUUGUUAAUAAGGUUUUCUUUCUCCAUGAAACAAAAACAUACUGAAUCACUUUGGUUGCAUAAAGAUUGGUGCCUUUGGUGAAGCUACACUUUGGUUAUACUUUCAGAAAUUUUGGUUUAAUGCAAGAGCAUUUGUAGUGUUUUUAUUUCUCACUGAAAAAGGAUCAAGAGGUUCUUCUUCUGGAGACUUCAGUGUCAAGUCUGCCCCUUUGCUGAAUUUUCCCAAAUGAGAAUUCCCAGCUGUUCCUUCAUAUGGAAAUCCAAAUUGCCUCCUAAAGACAAAUGCUUUCUUCUUCAAAUAAGUAACCAAGGAACGAAGACUUAAAGAGGCGUAUGGUUUCUGAGUAGUCUAGAAGGAGAUCUUGUUACCCCCAACAACUUCAAUACUCUCAGUUUGAAUGCUGCUAUGACUGGGUUGAAGCCUCUUAGGCAUGACCCUCCUUCUCAGUUGGGUAUAUCCCCUGGAAUUUAGGCAGUUUUUCUAUGGCUUGCUGGAUGUUAUGGAGGAGGAGAUGCUGUAGGGCCUUUGGAAGGGAAUUUCAGUUGAGGCGUUUUUGUUCACCCAUUCUCAACCCUGGGACUCAGUUCAGCUACCCUUUCUGCGUUUCCUUUGUUUGGCUUUUUAUGAAGUCCAUGUAUGAGGACCAGUCCACUGAUUUUGGAGACACGGGGCAGAAAUAAAAGUUGACGCCUUUUAUAUUCAACACCCACUUCAUUUUGAACAAAAAUAAAAAUAAAAAAUUCCAUAUUUAUGUGCUAAGUUGGUUAGUUUAAGUAAAAGAUGGCCACUAUGUGAAAAAUAAAGAGAAGUGCCUAAAUCUUUUCAAAAUAAAGCUCAAAAAGCAUUCAUUAGAUGUAUAAAGAGACUUUUUUACUACUAUAAUUCUUGGCCUAAAAUGUUUUAUAGGAAUUCCAUUUUUUAAGGGGCCUUGUGCUGUCGGCCGUCCUGCACACCUUGCGGGUGGGGGCAUGCCAUGUAUUAUUCCAAACUCGUCAUUUUCGUUACUUUUUCCUACAAUUCGAUCAAUGUCAUUCCUAUCCUCUUAUGUUAUACGUAAAUAUAUGUAUAUUUUAACGUUCAAUGGUUAGAUUACCGUCAUUUUACGUCAAUUUCGUCAAUUAUAUUAAAGCCAACUCGUCUAAAGUUCUACUAUCAAAUGACGGAUAUUUACAAUUGUUUGAUUUUGAAAAUUACCGUCAUCCAUAUAACUGACAACAACUAUUGAGCCUCAUCUAUACACAAGGACUAUAGCCUAGCGCGACUUUGGGCCUAAAUGCUUUUGUUUUAGAAUCUCUAAGCCACGCCCUCUCCUUUAGUCACACGCUUUACACAAAAUUUGGUACGAAAAUACCAAAAAAAUAGAGAUAGCUUAAUUGAAAUUGGUUUAUUCAUGGAAUUCAUAUAUCAUAAAAAACAAAAACAAAAAGAAUAAUAAAUAAAACAAAUCAAAAUAUUAGCGUGCAAUAUUCUGGCAAAGAAACAAUGGAAACUCCAGUUCUGAACUUCACCAAUUCCAUCAAUCCCAUGACCUCCAUUACUCGACCCUUGCCCUCUUUCGGUAAUUUUCUUCUGCCCCAGCUCUCUAUAUUAUAUAGCAUUAAAUAUGGUGAUUCUCCGCAUCUUCAAAUUAAAGGUAGUGAUUAUAAUAUCUCUCUAAUUAAAAAUAAUUUUUAUUAGAAAUCAUCCACUUUUUAACUGUCUUAAUUUUAGUCCUCAAACUUUCAAAUUAAUAAAUAUGACCUCCAAAAUUUUGGUUCACACAUAAGUUUGGUCCGUAUCAUAUUUUGGAGAUGUGCAGGCAACGCAAGUGACCUCCCCACUACAAAAAAAAAGUGGCAACAAUUAUCAUUAUUUGGUGACAUUUGCUGGGGUGACUAAAGUUUUAGCCAUCCCAGCAAAUGUCACCAUAUAAUGGUGAUUGUUGUCACUUUUUUUUUGUAAUGUCCCCUUAAUCACCAAACUAGUUAUUGCCACUAAUGGAAGGUCAAGACUGCAACCCCCACUCCUUCCUAGUUACUUUGGCAAUGCGAUUUUCACAACAACGCCAAUUGCUGUCGCAGGGGAUUUCCAAUCAAAAUGAACAUGGUACGGAGCAAGCCACAUUCAUGAUGUUUUGGUUCAUAUGGAUGAUCAAGGUUUUAAAACGCAAGGUGUUGAGGCGAGAUGCUUUUGAUCUCGCAAGGUGAAGUGUAACCCUUUCAAACAUUAAUUAUUUUAAUUAAAAAUAUAAAAUUAUAUAAAAUAAUUAUAAACGGGUACUAAUUGUCUCCUAAGUAGAAUAAUCAAGUAUUCUAGGAGGACAAUUUAGGGUACUGCAGAUAUGAUUUCUGGUUCAACAAUUCUGUAGAUAUGAUUUCUGGUUCAACAAUUCUACUGCGUGGGAAGGGCAUAAACAGUUGCAGGAUAUUUACCCUAAAUCUCACAGAGUCUUAAAAAUAGGCUAAAGACUGUUAAAUUGCGAGCAUGCCACUAUUAGCAGUGUAAAACCCUAAUAGAUCUUAAUGAAUUAAAAUAACUUAUGCACCAAGAAACCUGACUUCCAAUCAAACAAUUGUGCUUGGAAUAGAGAACUGGUUCAAUAUGGAUUUUUUCUAUGCCUCAAGAUAAACGAGGACUUUAUUAUUUCUCUAAUACAAAGCUAAGAGAUAAAAAACAUAAACAAGUAAACAAUGUGUCAAAUCGAUCAUAUCUGGUGAGAACUAAGACUGCCAUUACCUUUGAGUUGCCUCAUAGCCACUAGAACGAGAGUAUUUUUGUUCACCACUUUAACCCAAGUUGUACCAUUAUCACCCUUCUCAACACUUGACACGUAUCUGUGGGCAUAACUAUGGUUAUGCACAUGGACAGUGGCAAAGCCAUGAAUCUUACCACAAGGGGUCUUAGUGUAAAAGUCCAAAUAAAAAUUUAGGAUGGAAAAACAUAUUGAAAAUGAAAUCAUAGUAUUUUCAUUCAUAAUUCAUAACGGAAACAAUAUUACAAGCUAUAAUUGUCCAUGACGAGGUUUCAUAUUUUGAAAACGAAGCAUUAUAGCUUCAUUUUCAAUACAAGCAAAAAUAUCUCUCUCAAUAUAAACAAGCAAGCUAUCACUCAACCAUUGAUCUCCCAUUUUGUUCCUAAGUGGACCCUUAACAAUAUUCAUGAUAGAAAAUGCUCUCUUCACUGAAGCAGUUGCAACCGGUAAAACUAAAGACAAUGUAAUGAGCAAAUACACAUAAUUGAAUACUUGAUGCAUCCUUGUUUCCACCAUUUUUUUUUUUGCAAGAUCACCAAUCCCUUCCAGUUGAGAAAAGUCACUACUAGAACGCACAUAAUGGAUAUAAAUCUCAAGUUGAUCUUCAAGUGCCAAACGAUCCUCAUCCGAAAAGUCUUAAGGAUAAAAUUGAGCAAGACGAAGUAACUUUGAUUUAUCAAAAGCUAUAAAUGAAUCUUUCGGACUCAAACAUGCCAAACAAAUUAGCAAUUCGGUAUUUACCUCAUUAAAGCGAUCCUCUAACUCCGUAAUUUUUUCAUCAAUGACAUAAAUAAAGAGCUUCACACGAUAAUGAUGACGAUUUGUCUUUAUUGGAGCAUUACGCCUUGACCUCCCUGGAAGUAUAAAUGCCUCUUCCAUGUUAGGAACAUAAAUAUGAUGUUUUUCACAAAAAGAAAAUAUUUCAUUAACCAAUGUAUCGAACCCAUUAUUCCUCAUCUAAUGUAGCUUUUCCUUGCAUGAUUUCACUAAAGUCAUUGCAUUCACAAUUUCUUGAUCUUUCCUUUGCAAUGCUUGUGACAAAUCAUUUGUGAGUCCCAAUAUGGCUUUCAUCAAGAAAAGGUGAAACACAAACUCAAAAAUACGUAUUUCUCUCAUUAACUUAUUUGCUUCACCCGCAUUUUCAUUGGGAUUAUCAUCAAUAACCAUUUGAAGCACAUGAACCACUGAUGAAAACAUAGAAAUGAUGCUAAUCAAGGUACCAUAGUAUGAGUUUCAUCAUGUGUCACCGGCAUGUUUGAGACUUGUUUCUUGAUUUAAGUCUCGCCCCGUUAUAAGACAAUCAUGUUCAAAAGCUAUCACAAGCUCUUCAUAAAGUUGCCCUCUAAGUAAAUCACGCCGCUUACAAGAUGCUCCAACAUGAUUAACCACACUAUUAGUAGUUGCAAAAAAAGAGGCAAAUGUCUAUAUUUUUCUUUGCUACGGCAACAAGAGCUAGUUGAAGUUGAUGAGCAAAGCAAUGAACAUAAUAUACACAAGGUUGUUCUCUCAAUAUCUUUGUUUUAAGGCCAUUCAACUCACCUCUCAUAUUGCUAGCAUCAUCAUAACCUUGUCCUCGUAGCUUGGAAAGGCACAAAUCGUUGCGAGAAAAAAAUGUGUCAAUAGCAUCCUUUAGUGAACUUGAAGUAGUGUCAGUAACAUGUUGGAUACCCACAAAUCUUUCAAUUACAUGCCCUUUGUUAUCCAUAUAACGCAAUACCAUAGUCAUUUGCUCUUUCACCGACACAUCACGUGCUUCAUCCAUCAAUAUUGAAAAGAAUUUAUCUUUUAGACCAUCCAUGAUAGCAUCAAGUGUUUCAAGGGCAUAUGAAUUCACAAUUUCUUUUUGAAUGCAAGGAGCUAGUAAUUUGAGAUUCCCAGGAGCAUUUUCCAUCACAACUUCUCUAACUUUAUCAUCAUUAUCUGCAAGGAAUUGCAAUAGCUCCAAGUAAUUUCCCAUAUUGCUUGAAGUGGCACUUUCAUCAUGGCCACGAAAAGCAAGACCUUGUCGCAAUAAAAACUUAGUGCACUUGAUUGAUGCAUUCAAGCAUGUGCGAUAAGCCUUACGAGCUUGGUCGGAGUGUUUGCUCACUGCCGUUUCAAUAUGUGUAUUUCGAUUCAUCAAAUUUGUAGCAGCUUCUCUAGCCUUAUUAUGAACACUCCCAACCGGUCCAACAUGCAUCUUAAAUCUUCCUCUCCCUUUCUUCCAAUUCUUAAAUCCAUCUUCAGUGAAAGCUUCACUACCCACUUGUUCAAAAUUGGUUUAAAGAGAUAGCAAUAGAGACAAUAUGCCGCAUCUGUAGAUAUACUAUACUCCAACCAAUCAAACUCAUCAAACCAUUGGGGAAUGAAACGUUGAUUAAUUCCUGACAUAUUAGUUAUUGGGAAAUUAUGACCUCUAGGUUGACAAGGUCUUUUUUGUAGAUAUGAUCUUCGGACCUCAUCUCUCAUAUUAGCAUCAUAAUCUAUCAUUCGAGUUCUUAAUCCAGGGUCCGCUUGAAGAUUACCUAAAACACCAUAUAACUGACUUUGUCUUGAACUUGGAGUUCUUGAACUACCAACAUUAUUUGAACUAUCAACAUUAUCCGAACUACACGAACCUGAUCAUGAUUUUCUCUUAAAAAACCGUUCCAUAAUAUUCUACAUAUACAAAACAAUCAAAAUAAAUACUCACAAUAUAAACAAACCAUCAACAUAAUCAAAAUACAUAUGAAUUGGAUUUCAAUUAAAUUAAAUAUAUUCUACAUAUACAAAAUAAUGAAAAUAUAAACUCACAAUAUAAACAAACCAUCAAUAUAAUCAAAAUAAAUAUGAAUUGAAUUUCAAUUAAAUUAAAUAUAUUCUACAUAUACAAAAUAAUGAAAAUAAAAAAUUAUAAUAUAAUCAAACCACCAAUAUAAUCAAAAUAAAUAUGAAUUAGGUUUCAAUUAAAUUAAAUAUAUCAUACAUAGUAACAUAGGAUUUAAAACUUACUUGAAUUGUGAAAUUUCACAAUAACAAUGAGCAAAUACAAAGAGAGUAGCUAGCGGCACCACCACAACGACGACGACGGUAGCACAAAGGCACCUCAAUUGUGGCAGCCAGGGAGGGGAUUGAGUUGAAGGUUUUGGGGGGGUUGGUGUGGGGUGGGAAUUGAGUUGGGAACUUAGGGUUGGAGGAGGAGAAAACAAAAGAAAAUUGGGAGUUUUGGAAUGGAGGAAUUGGGUUUGUGGAAAAGCAAUGGCUGGAGGAUACGUUGGUCAUUAUUUUUUUUUUUCAGACCUGGCUCAAAACGACGUCGUUUUUGCCAGGUUAUUUACAAAAAAUUCACUGUGCCAAAACAACGUAGUUUUGGCCAGGUCAUUUAAAAAAAUUCCCUGAGCCAAAAGGACUUUCCUGAGCCAAAACUACGUCGUUUUGCCCAGGUUGUUUAAAAAAAAAAACUCGCACGCCAGUCAGCCUUCUUCUUUUUCAGCCUGCGAACCUUCCUUCUUCUUUCAGACAUUUCGUCGACCACUUGGUGUGCAGCUCCAAGAGGUCGCACCAGCAGCUCCAAGGGACCUCUAAGCCUAUUUCCAUGGCUUCCAAGAGGUCGUGCGACCCCAUUGACCCCACUGUGGCUCCGCCUCUGCACAUGGACACUUGUCAAGUGUUGAGAACUAUGUGUAUCUUUUUAUGUUUAUUAAUAAAAUUCACUCGUAUCAUAGAGUUUAAUAUAUAAAUUUUGCCCAAUCGACUUUCAAAUUCUAGAACCGCCACUAGGGUGUAGUGUGCAGUUCGAACAUUGAGGCGGUCAUAGGUUUUGAGAAGGAUAGGCCACUGAGAGGUGUCCAUGGAAGGAGUCGGGGUUAAUGAAGUCUUUGUCCAAAUCAUUGUCUUUAUGUCUAUGCUUUUUCUUCUUUUUCUUCUUUAUAUCUGCCCUUUUCGCCACGGCCUUCACUGGGGUUCGAUCAUCAUCAGAAGCCAUUUCCUGCACAUUAGACAGAACAAAAAUGAAAAAAAAAAAAAGAAAAAAAAGAACACUAGAACAGCAGGUAAAACCCAACAUCAAAUACAAAUUUUAUUCUGGGCAAAAUUUAAGAGAAAAUAAUCGCUCUGAUUUUUCCAUUGUCAAACAAAAAAAACACUUAAUUAAUCAUUACCCAUAAUAGAGUUAUAUUAUAUGCUUGGGGAUGGUGGCUUUCCUAAACAAAGCAUUAUCAUUAAGUUCCCAGUAAAGAGAUUAACACAAAAUGGCAGGGGUUUUACAAAUAAACUAGUUUCAGGUGCAGUGACAUGUUAGGAACCCUUAUCAGCUUCUGAAGACAAAAGAAGAGACUUUCACAUACAAAUCACUUGGAAGUAUUCAUAACAGAAAACCCAAAAGAGGGCAAGUAGAAAAUCAAUACCUUUUACUUAAAAGCACCUAAUCGGAAUGGUUCGGCGGCGGCAGAGGUAGGGGUUUUAAGAAGAGAAAGAGAGAAGAGAAGAGGAGAGAGUGGCGGGAGUUAGGGUUAUGCAAUUAACCCUGCUAUUUUAUGUUUUAUUAAUUACAAUUUUGGAGAUUUCUCACCUGUUCUUUUCUGGGAUCAUCUAGGAUAGAAAAAACCAAAUGUAACAGAUCAGAACCAUGAACAAACAAACUUUUCUUUCUCUUUUUCAUGUCAGUUUCAGAGGAAACAAACAGAGAAUUGGAUAGAGAAAUACCAUGGUUGCGAAGUUGAGCUGACGACUAGAGGAAGAGACGGCAGCAAACGAAGAAGGUCGAGGUCUCUCUCGCACUCGUUACCGUCUCCCAUGGUUGGAAAUUCAGAUCUGACCGCAUUGAGUCCGAUUUGAGAGCUCGAAGAGAGAGAAGGCUUGGCUGCCGGUGAAGAUGGGGUUUCCGUCGGUUAGGUGGGUGGGUGGGUACCUAAGGAAGAGAAGCCAUGGUUUUUGGUGUGAGUUUCUGGGACUGAGCUUGCAAUAUCCCACAUUCAUCUUUUCCCAGCUCUGUAAAUUUUCCAUCUCCAGGUUGAAAUGCAAGCUUUCGCGGGUGGGAGGCAAAGAAACCCACUAUAGCAGGUUAUCCAGUUUUUGUGUGUGGUGAUUUUAGUGAUUUUUCUUCACAAAUUAUUUUGAGCCAUUAGAUCAAAACUUUUAAAUCCAACGGUUAAAAGCUUUGAUGUAUAAGUAUUGAUACACCAGAGCAUAUUAGAAUUUUCGCUAGAUGACAUCUGUGAAGAAGUCACUAUAGAAUAGGCCUCAUUAUUUGGUCUGUGGGCUCAUGGGUCGAUAGGGGCUUGUCCGGCCCAUCGAAAAAAAGCCCGGCCCGGCCCAUUAUGGGCUUUGAGAUGGCUUGGCCAGCCUUGGGCUGGGCUAGGCUUGGGCUUGGGUGUCUCAAGCCCAGCCCAACCUGAUUAAGCCCAAGAAAGCUCGGCCUGGCUCGUUAGGCCCACAUACAUAUAUAAUUAUGUAUAAAUAGGAGUUUAGGUUUAGGAUUAAAUCACAUAUAUAAUUUGUUUCAUUUCAUUUACUUUUCUUUACUCAUUCCUAGUUUAUAAUUGGAUGAUUAACACAUUAAUUUGUGUCAAUUAUUAAUUCAACAAUUAUAUAUAUAAAUAAGAUGAACAACAUAUCACAUCACCAAAUAUAAUCAUAUCAUGAAACAUAAUCGUACCACCAAAUAUAAUCAUGCUUUUCUUGAACACAUCACCAAAUAUUUGCAUAUUUAUUCAUACCAUCCUUUAAAAAAAAAAAUUUGAUACUUAUUAUUUUUUAAAACGUAUUACGGUCUAAUUAUGUAAUAACCUCAAAAAUAAUACUUUGUUUUAUUAUUUUUUUGGAAAAUCUUAUUAAGUUGUGUGACUUUAUUUGGUGUUUUAUGAAUUUGGUUUGAUGUGAAAAUAUUGGAAUUAAGUUAGUUUAAUUUUAAAUUUGGACUAAAAUGCCCUUAUGAUUAAGUUUAUAAUUUUUUUUUAAUGAAGUAUGCCCAUUUAGGCCUGACCAGUUGGGCUUAGCCUUGCCCGGCCCGAUGGGCUUUCUCAAGUUUGGCCCAUGGGUUGGGCUUGGACUUUGAAUUUUCUAAAAAAAUCCGGCUUGGCCAAGCCAUAUAUUUUCUCUCUUCUUUUUAAAACCCGGCCCUGCCCAGCCCAAGCCCAUUAAAUUUGGGCCGAGCUAUACGAGCCCUACUACAGAAUGUCUUGAUUUGACAGUUACGUGGGUCCCAUACUUUUCAUGCAAAUUGAUCAGGAAGGUGAGAGGGAAGGGCCAUGAUGUUUUUUGGUUUUCUUAAGCAAUAGUUCUUGAACUAUACUCGUAGUUAUAUUUUGGUCACUCAACUCCAAAAAUAGAUGCAAAGAUCCCAUAAUUAUGUAUGGUGUUACAUUAGUAGUCCCUUUCGUCAAGUCUGUUUAUUUUUUCGUUAAAUCUAUGGAUAAACUUGAAAAUUCAUUCCAAAUAUUUAUAAAAACGAAAUAACAAAAAAUAAAUAAAUAAAGGUUAUUUGUAGCAAUGGUCCCUCAACUAUAGUCAAAGUUAUAUUUUGGUCACUCAACUCUAAAAAAUAGUUACAAAGGUCACUCAAUUAGAUGUAGUGUUGCACCAUUAGUCCUUACCGUCAAGUCUCUUUAACAGUAAAAACUAAUAGUGCAACACAACACCUAAUUGAUGAGCUGUUUGGGCCCUUGGCUGAUUGUUUCAAGUGGACAUACUUUGGUUUUGAUUUGAAUGGCAGAAGUGGUAGCUUAAUCCUACAAGUGCAUUUAUUGACCGAAAGGCAAAGGAUGGGACCAAUAAAUGUCUACAUCUAACCCAAAUAAGCUAGGCCUGCCCUUUCUUUUUAUAAUGAAUUCUCCAUACCUGUUCUUCACAAAUAUAUAGUGCACUAUUAAAGUCGGUCGCUCAACUUCGAGUGGUAUAACUUAAAAAAUAAAUAAAUAAAUAAAUAAAAUCGAGUAAUAUAAAGUAGGAGCUGAGGAAUCUUUAGAAGAUGAUAUUGUGAUGGAAAAAGAAGGUGAUUUUGAGAACUUGAGAGGGCCUUGGAUGGUUGUUCAAAAUAGGAGAAAACCGAAAAGUUGGGUUAAGGAUAGAGGAAACAAGGGAGCUGGAGGUCCCAGCAUAGGCUGUCGGUUUGACACGUUAAGAAAAGUGAAUGAAGACUUUGAUAGAAAUGGAGGGUUUGAUACUGGCAAGACUAAUUAGUUUGGGCCCAACCAUGUUGGCACAUCUAAGAGCACCUCCACCGCCCCGUCCACAGCCCCUCGAAGCUCAGGUUAGGCCCUCCAGCGUGCAGCCUGAAGAUCGGGCAAGUCCUGGGGCCCACUAGUCUGGGCAAGUCCAAGGGCAAUUCUUGGUUGGGCUCCAGCCCAAAGUGGUUGACGUCAACGAAGUGAAAUUAGAUUAUUAUUUUCUUUUACCGUUGGCGCAUGAAAUUCAGAUUUUUUUUUUCUUCUAUCAAUUUUUUUAUUUAUUGGGAUUUUCUAUUUAGAAUUACUAACGUACUCUUUUAUUUAGUUCAGUUGUUGAGAAGCACGAUAAUGGGCACUAGAAUAUCAGCCAGCGAAUCAUAGGACACUAGCCAGAUCAACAACAAUAGCCCAAUUGAUCAAGAUAAUUCUUUUCAUUAGUAUAGAACUUUGUUUAUGAUCUUGCGCUCUUGAAAAUCAUGUUAGUAUGGCUUCCUUUAUUUUUGGUAUGCGUUCUGUUAAAUUAGGUAAAUUAUGUAUACUUGUAUGUUAAAUUUAUGUACUAAAAUUUUAGGAAUGGAAGAAUCUUCUGCAAGACUAGACAAUAAUCAACAUGAUGAUGCAGUUGAAAUGAAUUUUAAUGGGAUUGAAAAGGAAAAUAAUGGGGAUGAAACUGAAAAUAAUGACAUUGUAAUGAGUGUUGAAGAAAAAGUACAAGACCCUCGAGUUAGAAUGAUUUUUGACAGUGUUGAUGAGGUGAUCACAUAUUACAAACAAUAUGGGAGGCAAUCAUAGUUUCCAGUGAUAAGGAGAUCAUCAAGAACUGGAGAUGAUGGAAAUUUCAAAUAUGUUACUAUUCUUGUGCCCAAUAAGACAAAUCAAAAAGUAAGUCAAGUAAUCUUCUUAAAUCUCAUCCAAGUAUAAAGAAUGAUUGCAAGGCUCAGCUUAGGGCAGGUUUAUUGAACGUCUUUUUUGCAGUUUCUUUAUAUUUUAAAUAAAUUCAGAGACUCUUUGGAUUCUGCGUGUAGUUUUCACCAAAAUUUCAUACACGCGAUUAGAAAUGGUAUUUCCUUACUUGACUUAUAACCGGCCCAUUCCCAUCCCUAAAGAUCACCAAUUUCAUUUUCAAUUAUUUUUGUUUGUAAAACUUAAGAUACUAUAUCUCUAGUAAUUCCAACACAAGACAAGCCAAUUCAAAUGAUAAUUUCAUGGAGUGAAUCUCUUUAAAAUAAGUGGUGAAGUAUUACUUUUUAGGAAUAGUAAAUCAAAUAAAUAAGCAUAAGUUAUUGGUUCCAAGCAUAAGUUAUUGAUACUAUUCUCUAAAAAGAAGAAUAUCAAUCAUAUAUGUUUAUCUAUAUUAUAACACAAAAAUAAAUCAUACCACUUAACCGUAACAUUUUAUAAUUUCUUGAAAAGUCCAAACCUUUUAAAUGAGGUUUCGUGUGAUUUUGUCAGGCUGAGAGGUCCCAUCUAAUGGUAGAAUUUUCCCAUAAAGGAGAGGUCCGACUCCCAAUGGAGACCCAUCGACCAAAAACAGUAGAGUAAUCCCCGCAAAGAAGAAACAAUUAAUAUUCAAGUGAGUAUGCCACCUAAAUAAUAAUGAGGACAUCGUGGAACAGUUUCGAACCACGAUCUACUUUGUUUUCUUCUUAUAAUUGUGAAAUUGAUACCGUUGAUGCAUUGAGGACAGAGACAAUUCGACACUGACAAGGGUCUUUAUUUGAAAAUGCUCAGGGGGUGAGAAUGAAUACGAUAUCUACCUAUCACAUCACGUGAUAAAAAUCUAAUAAGUAUAAAAUUAUUCUUUUCAAUUAGAGGGUGAACUCUAUUAUAUUAAUUGACUCUACUUUGAUUAGAAAAAUAAUACAUAAUCUUAGAAGGGACGUUUAGACUUUGCUUUUUAAUUUUGUAUUUUUAUAGAGUUGACAUUGAGAGAGCAGAAUUAUGGUUUGAAAUGCUCUUAACUACUACUAUUUAACCACGUAAACUAUAAGCUAUAAACCAAUAAUUUUUCUAUGUUUGAGGCACAUAGUAUUUAUGUCUUAUGUUAUGUCACAUGUAUUGAAAAAUAUGUCUACAUGGGAUGGGACCCUGGUGUACCCGCACAUACACAAAUUUGUCCUUGCUCAGUCGCUACAUAUAUGGAUGUUAUUACAACGUCGGUAUACAGAGACGUGCUUUGCCUUCUUCACUGCAAAGAAGGUUAGAUAAAUAGUUUGGUUUGGAGGUGAGGUGAGGCCCAGCAAAAAGAUGGCGGUGGUCAACGUGAGCGUGAGGGAGUCAACGUUGGUGAAGCCGGCGGAGGAGACGCCGAGGCAGGUGCUGUGGAUGACCAACUUGGACCUUGUGAUUUUGGGCAACCACACGCCAAGCGUCUACUUCUACAGGCAGAACCAAAACAGUGUGCACGGUCAUCAUAACAACUUCUUCGACCCGCAGGUGCUCAAGCAGGCGCUAAGCAAGGCCCUCGUGCCCUUCUACCCGUUGGCGGGGCGCCUCGGGAUGGAAGGCAACGGCCGCGGCGAGAUCGACUGCAAUUCGGAGGGCGCGCUGUUUGUCGUGGCUGAGACGGGCUCAACCAUCGACGAUUUCGGCGACUUCGCGCCGACUCUCGAGUUCCGGAAGCUCAUCCCAGCCGUUGAUUAUUCGACAGGGAUAUCAACUUAUCCCCUCUUGGUGUUGCAGGUAUGUUUAAAAUCGCUAGUGUCGUUUCAUUACUUGAUCUUGACCGUAGAUUAAACGCUUCGGUCAACAUUUCACCCAGCUGACUUGGUUGAAUGAUAGUUGAUGAUGAAAUUUUAUUUAUUUGGUAAUUGAAAGGAUAACAAAAAACACAAAAAAAGAGGAAAGCAGAAGCAUCUGGUGGCACUGCCACACUUUAUCAUGAAAUGAUAUUUGUAUUUAUUGAUUAAUAUUUGAAUUAAUAAAAAAUAUUAACUAUGCCGACAGAGAGACUAUAUUACCUAAAGAGUGAUGCUAUUUCUCUAUUUUCUCACUCAUCUUAUUUUCCUAUUCAAUAUAUAAAUUUUAAUAAAUACAAUUAUAUUUUUUCACCCUCUAUUAUUCCUAGAAUACCUUUUACAAAAUUAAAUGAAAAAAAAGUUAAUCAAGCUCUCUUCUCCAAGUCACCCCCAACCUCUUGCUCUCCUCUGCCAUCACCACCAUCCCUCCAACCCAUCUGUAAAACCCAUAAAUUUGUUUUCUCCUAAUUGAAUUUUGCUUUAACAUUAUCUGCCCAAAUUAAUUCCCUAUUUAUUUACAUAAAUUUCAAAUGAAGCCUGCAUAAUAAUAACUCACCCAACAUCCCCUACACUGCGAUAUUCCAAUUUUUAUUUCUGUAGUUUCAAAAGAGCUCUUCCUGUUUUUAUGAUACUGCAACAGCAUAAAAAUUCCAGUACCACAUGUUUUGGCAAACUCGUGCAAAAUAACAAGCAGCUGGAAAAAAAAAAUACAAAUGUUUCAGAGAGUGAACCUUAUUUUACUUGCCUAGAUAAAACUGACCAAGAUUGAAUUAAAGAUGAACAUCAAAUGGUGUUGAUUAAGCAAACAGAGGAUGAAGAGUCCAAAAAAAUGAUAAAAGAAGCGUCACAAAUAGAAGAAUUUAUUUCAAUCCUUAGAAGUUAUUUUACAUAAGGAUAAAUUUGUCUUUAAAAUUUUGAGAAUAAGAUAGGGGGAAAAAUAGGACAUAAGGUGAAAAUAGCAGCAUUCUUCUUAAAAUAUGUAUUUCGGAAGAAUUAGAGCAUGUGCGACACUUUAAUAUCCAGGUAAUUAUGAUUAGAUGGAGUUUAACUGAAUAAAAACGAGUCUAUUGUGAUUAGAUGGGAUCUUCUUUUCCUCAAUAUCAACUGGCUGAUUUAUAUGCUGCUGUCAAGUCCAUUUACUUCAACUAUCUACUUUAGUACUUUUGGAAACUACUUUUCCUCACAGGCGAAAAGUUUUGUUGUUUACGUAUACAAGUUAAGCUGCCAAUCUUGAUUCCAAGCAUAAAUGUUUGUCCUGUUGUUUCACGUUGUAUCAGUUAAUAGAAUUUGGAGAACCACCGGCCAAAAACAGUAGAAUAAUCCCCGCAAAGAAAGGAACAAUUAAUAUAUACUAUAAAUGAUAAUGAAGACACGUGGAGCAGUUUGGGUGGAGACAUUGUUGGGCAGUUUCAAACCACAUACUAUUUUGUUUUCUUCUUAUAAUUAUGAAAACGAUACCCGUUGAUGCAUUGAGGGACAGAGACAAUUCGACAGUUGACGAGUGUUCUUUACUUUGUAGUUUGUAUGGAUUCUUCAAUACUUCGAGUCCAACCUGCAUUCGUCUGUCUACUUGUUGCCACUUAGAUGAGCUUAAUAGGGAGUUUUAAUUACAAUUAUGGUAGUUAAUAAAAUGUUUGAAAUAAAUUAUAAAUAAAAUAUGAAAUUUAGUGACAAUGAUGUAAAAACGUAGGAAUAUUAUGACUUCUUAUAUCAUACUGGUCAUUUAAAUUUGAAAUUGAAUUUUAUAUAUAGAUUUAUAGAAUGAUGAGUAUAUGUUUAGGAAAUAGAAAAUGUAGGGACUUAUAUUGGACAAGCCCUAAUUCUUUAAGCCAAGUUAUUGUCUUCCUGUUAUAUCUGAGUGGAUGCGUUUUCUUUUUGGUGGAUUAGAGAAUAGUUUUACCCCACUAUACAAUUCCAAGUGCUCACCCCUUCUUUUAUUUCUCUUGCUCAUAAUAUCAUCCUGGAUAUGACUUAAACUUACAAAGUAUGGUUCGGGUUUUACUCUGUUUAUGCAUCAGGUCACAUACUUCAAAUGUGGUGGAGUGUCACUUGGUGUUGGCCUGGAACAUCGUGUAGCAGAUGGCCUUUCUGGUCUCCACUUUGUAAAUACAUGGUCUGAUAUUGCUCGAGGUCUUGACCUGACAAUUCCACCAUUCAUUGACAGGACAUUACUUCGUGCCCGAUACCCACCACAGCCUGCAUUCGAUCACAUUGAAUACCAACCCGAUCCACCCAUUAAAACUGGUACAAAAGCUGUAGGUGAUGAGAGCGCAACGGUAUCCAUUUUUAGAUUGACAAGGGAGCAGCUCAACAUCUUGAAAGCCAAGUCUAAGGAAGAUGGGAACACAAUCAACUAUACCACAUAUGAGAUGUUGGCAGGCCAUGUUUGGAGAUGUGCAUCUGUGGCACGUGAACUUCCUGAUGAUCAAGAGACCAAACUACAUAUUGCAGUUGAUGGAAGGUCCAGACUGCAACCCCCACUCCCACCUGGUUUCUUUGGCAAUGUGGUUUUUGCAGGCGCACCAAUUGCUGCAGCAGGGGAUCUCAAAUCAAAACCAACAUGGUAUGCUGCAAGCUGUAUUCAUGAUACUGUUGUGCGUAUGGACAACGAUUAUCUUAGAUCAGCACUGGACUAUCUUGAACUUCAGCCUGACCUGUCACCCCUUGUUCGCGGAGCUCAUACUUUUAGGUGCCCGAGACUUGGAAUAACUAGUUGGUCUAGGCUGCCGAUCUAUGAUGCUGAUUUCGGUUGGGGUCGACCUAUUUUCAUGGGGCCUGGUGGAAUGGGAUAUGAGGGGUUGGCUUUUGUGUUACCAAGUGCAACAAAUGAUGGAAGUUUAUCGGUGGCCAUUUCUCUGCAAUCUCAACAUAUGCAAUCAUUCUCCAAGUUGUUGUAUGAGAUAUAAGGAAAUGAAAUGCGUCGAAUGGGGGCAAUACGUUGAACAGACUUCGGGCUUCUGUGUGUGUCCUCUGAGUUCUGGGACUUUGCAUUGACUCUAGCCUAGCUGAUCGGAAAGCAGCUGUUUUUGAAAAGUUCAAGUGGUCUUUUGGUUAAUCUAUAUUAGAGGAUCUGUUUUAGAAACAACCUAGUACUGAAUAAGAUUGUCAGAGUAUCUGUAAGCUUUGUUUAUUGCUGUGGAGGACUUCUUUUUCGGAGUAUCUGUAGUUUACUGUGAUUGUUAAUAAGGUUUUCUUUCUCCAUGAAACAAAAACAUACUGAAUCACUUUGGUUGCAUAAAGGUUGGUGCCUUUGGUAAAGCUACACUUUGGUUAUACUUUCAAAAAUUUUGGUUUAAUGCAAGAGCAUUUGUAGUGUUUUUAUUUCUCACUGAAAAUGGAUCAAGAGGUUCUUCUUCUGGAGACUUCAGUGUCAAGUCUGCCCAUUUGCUGAAUUUUCCCAAAUGAGAAUUCCCAGCUGUUCCUUCAUAUGGAAAUCCAAAUUGCCUCCUAAAGACAAAUGCUUUCUUCUUCAAAUAAGUAACCAAGGAACAAAGACUUAAAGAGGCGUAUGGUUUCUGAGUAGUCUAGAAGGAGAUCUUGUUACCCCCAACGACUUCAAUACUCUCAGUUUGAAUGCUGCUAUGACUGGGUUGAAGCCUCUUAGGCAUGACCCUCCUUCUCAGUUGGGUAUAUCCCCUGGAAUUUAGGCAGCUUUUCUGUGGCUUGCUGGAGGUUAUGGAGGAGGAGAUGCUGUAGGGCCUUUGGAAGGGAAUUUCAGUCGAGGGCGUUUUUGUUCACCCAUGCUGUAGGGCCUUUUAUGUUCAACACCCACUUCAUUUUGAACAAAAAUGAAAAUAAAAGAUUCCAUGUUUAUGUGCUAAGUUGGUUAGUUUAAGUAAAGAUGGCCACUAUGUGAAAAAUGAAAAGAAGGUUCUAAAUCUUUUCAAAAUAAAGCUCAAAAAGCGUCCGUUAGACAUAUAAAAGAACUUUUUUACUGCUAUAAUUCUUGGGCAAAAAUGUUUUAUAGGAAUCCCAUUUUUUAAGGGGCCUUGUGCUGUCGGCCGUCCAGCACACGGCAUGCCAUGUAUUAUAUCCAAACUCAUCAUUUUCGUUACUCUUUCUUAAAAUUCGAUCAAUGUCAUUCCUAUCCUCUUAUGCCAUACAUGAAUAUCUGUAUAUCUUUGAUGUUUAAUGGUUAGAUUACCGUCAUUUAACGUAAAUUUUGUCAAUUACAUUAAAGCCAACUCGUCUAAACUACUAUCAAAUUACUGAUAUUUACAAUUGUUUGAUUUUAAAAAUUACCGUCGUCCAUAUUUUUGACAACAACUAUUGAGCCUCAUCUAUACACAAGGGCUAUAGCCUAGUGCGACUUUGGGCCUAAAUCCUUUUGUUUUAGAAUCUCUAAGCCACGCCCUCCCCUUUAGUCACAUGUAAAAAAAGAAAAUAUUAGCGGACAAUAUUCUGACAAAGAAACAAUGGAAACUCUAGUUCUAAACUUCACCAAUUCCAUCAAUCCCAUGACCUUUGGUAAUUUUCUUCUGUCCCAACUCUCUGUAUUAUAUCAGAUUAAAUAUGGUGGUUCUCCUCAUCUUCAAAUUAAAGGUUGUGAUUAUAAUCUCUCUAAUUAAAAAUAAUUUUUAUUAGAAAUCAUCCACUUUUUAACUGUCUUAAUUUUAGUCCUCAAACUUUCAAAUUAAUAAAUAUGACCCUCAAAAUUUUGGGUCACACAUAAGUUUGGUCUAUAUCAUCGUUUGGAGAUGUGUAGGCAACGCAUGUGACCUCCCCACUACAAAAAAAAGUGGCAACAGUUAUCAUUAUUUGGUGAUAUUUGCUGGGGUGACUAAAACUUUAGCCACCCCAGCAAAUGUCACCAAAUAAUGCGAUUUUCAAGACUGCAACCCCCACUUCCUCCUAGUUACUUUGGCAAUACGAUUUUCACAACAAUGCCAAUUGCAAUCGCAGGGGAUUUCCAAUCAAAUUGAACAUGGAACGGAGCAAGCCACGUUCAUGAUGUUUUGGUUCAUAUGGAUGAUCAAGGUUUUAAAACGCAAGGUGUUGAGGCAAGAUGCUUUUGAUCCCGAAAGGUGAAGCGUAAUUCUUUUGAAUAUUAAUUAUUUUAAUUAAAAAUAUAAAAUAAUAUAAAAUAAUUAUAAAUGAGUACUAAUUGUCUCCUAAGCAUAAUAAUCAAGUAUUCUAGGAUGACAAUUUAGGGUACUGUAGAUAUGAUUUCGGGUUCAGUAAUUCUACUGGGUGGGAGUGGCAUAAACAGUUGCAGGGUAUUUACCCCAAAUCUCAGAGUCUUAAAAAUAGGCUAAGGAUUGUGAUAAAUUGCGAGCAUGCCACUAUUAGCAGUGUAAAACCCUAACAGAUCUUAAUGAAUAAAAAUAACUUAUGCACCAAGAAACCUGACUUCCAAUAAAACAAUUGUGCUUGGAAUGGGGAACUAGUUCAAUACGGAUUCUUUUCUAUGCUUCAAGAUAAACGAGGACUUUAUUAUGUCUCUAAUACAAAGCUAAGAGAUAAAAAACAUAAACAAGUAAACAAUGUGUCAAAUCGAUCAUAUCUGGUGAGAACGAAGACUGCCACCACUUUUGAGUUGCCUCAUAGCCACUAGAAUGAUGGUAUUUUUGCUCACCACUUUAACCCAAGUUGUACCAUCACCACCCUUCUCAACACUUGAUACGUGUUUAUGGGCAUAAUCAUAGUUCCACAAAUACAACAAAGAGUUAACUAUGGUUAUGCACAUGGACACAUGUCAAGUGUAAGGAAGUAUGGUGAUGGUACAUUUUGGUUUUGUCACAUCCCGGGAUCGGCUCCGCCGUAGCACGAUAUUGUCCGCUUUGGGCCCCUCUUUGCCCUUACGGUUUUGUUUCUGGGAGCUCACGAGCAACUUCCCAGUGGGUCACCCAUCCUGGGAUUGCUCUAGCCCCCAACUCGCUUAACUUCGGAGUUCCUACAACUCCGAAUCCAGUAAGCUCCCAAAAGGCCUCGUGCUAGAUGGAUGCGGGUGUGCACAUAUAAGGCACAUCAUCCCCUCUCCGUUGGUUGAUGUGGGAUCUUACAAUCCACCCCCCUUAAGGGCCCGAUGUCCUCGUCGGCAUACUCGUACCACACGGCAGAGUGGCUCUGAUACCAAAUUGUCAUAUUUCAGGAUCGACUCCAUCGUAGCACGAUAUUGUCCGCUUUGGGCCCCCCUCUCUGCCCUCACGGUUUUGUUUCUAGGAGCUCACGAGCAACUUCCCAGUGGGUUACCCAUCCUGGGAUUGCUCUGGCCCCCAACUCGCUUAACUUCGGAGUUCCUACGACUCCGAAGCCAGUGAGCUCCCAAAAGGCCUCGUGCUAGAUGGAUGCGGGUGUGCACAUAUAAGACACAUUACCCCCUCUCUGUUGGUUGAUGUGGGAUCUUACAAUCCAUCCCUUAAGGGUCCGACGUCCUCGUCGGCACACUCGCACCACACGGCAGAGUGACUCUGAUACCAAAUUGUCAUACCUCGGGAUCGGCUCCGCCGUAGCACGAUAUUGUCUGCUUUGGGCCCCCCUCUCUGCCUGCACGGUUUUGUUUCUAGGAGCUCACGAGCAACUUCCCAGUGGGUUACUCAUCCUGGGAUUGCUCUGGCCCCCAACUCGCUUAAUUCGGAGUUCCUACGACUCCGAAGCCAGUGAGCUCCCAAAAGACCUCGUGCUAGAUGGAUGCGGGUGUGCACAUAUAAGACACAUUACCCCCUUUCCGUUGGUUGAUGUGGGAUCUUACAGGUUUAAAGUGGUGAAAAAAAUAUUUCCCCAUUAGAAUAGCCUCAAAAUGUCAAGAAGAUUUGGUAACAAUCGAGUAGAAGCGCCACUAAUGGGCAAUUCAAGAUUAUUUCCCCUUUUUUAGACUUAUCUUUGACCUUGUGUGAUUAUCAAUUAAAAGCAUCCGCAAUGGUUGUUCCAAUUCAAUGCAAUAGUUCAAUAAAUUGAUCUUUUUUGGCAUUUAUUGAAUUGAACUGCAGUUUUACUUGUAAUGGUAUAGUUCAAUAGCUUCAAAUCAAUAGUUAUAUCAAUAGUUAUAGUUCAAUAGUCUCAAAGAAAUCUUUAAAAAGAGACUAAUUUUGGAAAAUCAAUUAUGUAAUUUUUUAUUUAUUGCAUUGAACUAUUGAACAACCAUUACAGAUACUCUUAACAACAUAAUGCAUUAAUUAUUGUUUUUUUUCUAUUUUUUUAUUGGCAUGUGGGUCCCCUAGUUAGCCUAUUGCAAUUGCAAUAGAGGGUUCAUCACAUAGAACCUUCUAUUACAAUGAACUAAAUCACACAAUUGCAAGUGAAAUUUUAGUAUUUUAGUUCAAUUUCAUGCAAUAAAAUUAUAUUGAUUCUAACCAUUGCAGAUGCUCUAAUGUACAAUUCCCCUUUUAGCGCCACUAACUUGGCCAAAUUCUCAUUACUUUAUAUCAAAACAGUGAGCCCAAGCCAUCAAUUGGCCCAAUUCUUUUAUUUAUUCCCAUGGAUUGAAAAUAGGACCAAAACACAGGGAUGUAACUGAAGCAAUUAAUAUUCUUGUACAAAAACUCAAAAUCAUAUGAGCAUGCUCUCAUCUUCGCAUGUUAUCCGAGUUUCUCCUCUUCUACUGCUGCACGUAAGAUACAGUGCAUACUUUAAAUUUCUUUUCAAAGGUCUCAUGGCAUAGUAUUAAUUUUCACAAAUACACAAAUCUGUUUUGGUUGUUCAAAUUACACACUGAGGAUAAUCUCAUUAAAUUUCUUUUCAAAUUGUGGCACUGCUUUUUGCCAAAUUAGAAAACUGCAUAACAGUAUUUCCUAUAUCGGCUGAGAUUGUUCCUACAACUUAACGAUGUUUUGCCGCAUGGGAACUGGGGAGGAAAACAAUGAAGAAAUGUGUGACAUUGCUAUGUAUGUAAUUAUUGUGUACAUUUAUUAAGUAAAAAAAUUCAAACAAUUGGUUCCAUUGGUUAGAGCAGUUCUAGCCAUGCCCCCAAGCCAGGCAGGAGGGGGGGUUCCAAGCCUAAAACGCGUUUCUAGCAGGCCUUUUUUGCCGGGGCAGCUUGUGGGUCCCACGGAACUAGGUUGGCCUGAAGGCAGAACAAGCUCGAGGGCGAGCUGACGCCAGCAUGUGGGUUUAAAUUUUUUUAUCGUUGGUGCGUGCAUUUAAUGCUCCAACGGUAAAAAAAAAAUUAAAUUCCGUGCAUUGUCGCCAGGUUAGCGUCAGUCCUUCCUUUCACCAACUGCUAGAAGCCACGUGGCGGACUCUGGGCGCUCCGAUUGGUUUUCUCCUUCAAUCCAAUGGUUGACUUUUUUUUUGCAAUAAAAUUAUGAAAAAAAUUCAAAAAAAUACCCAAAAAUUCAUGAAUUUUUUUUCUAUAAAUACCUACGAAUACUCUUCACUUUCAACACCAAAUCCUCAUACAUUUUCUUCUCCUUCUACUAUUAUUCACUUUCUACUCAACAUUUUAUUCACUUUCAAAAUUUAUUUUUAUUUAUCAUCUUAUGGCUUCUUCUAUCGAAACUGGAGGGGCGUGGAGCACCAUGGAAGAUGUUUUGUUGUGUGAGUGUUGGGUCCAAAUUAGUCAUUAUCUCGUCACGGGCAAUGAGAUUAAAUUCUCUCAUAUGUGGAGAAAAAUUCAUGCCGAAUUUUGUGAAAGAUCGGGUUCGACUCGUACGAAAAUGGCAUUGUUGAGUAGGUGGAAAAUUCUCAAUAAAGAGUUGGGAAAAUGGAGAGAUGCCUUGGCAAAAGCGAGGAACAACCAUAGAAGCGGGGGAAAAUCUUAGCAAUGAGGUAAAUUAUUUGUAAUUUUCGUUUUAUUAAUUUUAAUGUCCUAAUUUUUUUUUAAUGUUUCUUGCAUUUUCAAUUUUUUUUUAAAUAUUUCUUGCAUUUCUAUUUUUUUUAAUAAUGUUUCUUGCAUUUCCAAUAUUUUGUUAAUGUUUCUUGAAUUUCCACUAAUUUUUAAAUGUGUCUUGCAUUUUCAAUAUUUUGUUAAUGUUUCUUGCAUUUCCAAUAUUCUUUAAAUGUUCCUUGCAUUUCCAAUAUUUCAUUCCAAUGUUCUUUGCAUUUCCAAUAUUUUUUUAAUAGAUUAUGCAAGCACAAAUGUAGUUUGGUGCUAUUGGGCAAGGCCAAAAAACUUUCAACCAUGACCAAUGUUGGGAGGUGGUGAAGAAUUGUUUGGUGCUUUGAAAUAUUGCACGAAGAGAAUAAAAAGCAACCAAGUAAAAGGGGGUCGAGACUUUUACCGAAAUUUUAACAGAGUCUCCCCUAAAAAAAUGGUCUUUUCACAAAUUUUCCACCUAUGAAAAACAACAGAAAAAAAGUUCUCAACUGCCAGAACACACAAUGCUAAAGGCGCACAAAUUACAGAAUAGGCCUUCGGCCUUAAAUUCAACCCUACAUGGGCCAUAACAUAGCAAAUAUAAGAAAUCUUUAGUUUUACAACCAAAGCAUAAGUAUCAAAGGAAAUUAAACAAGUAAAAUUGCCUUACAACUGUUCAAGGCAUGAGAGUACGAAGUCUUGGCUUGGUUGCAAAACAAAAAUUGUGAGCGGACAAAAACAAAGUUUUAAUAUACUUUUAAACAAACAUACUAACCCCACCGUUUUGGAAAACGAUGCCCAAACAUGCCAAAAAACCAUUUAUAUAGCAUAAUCGACUCUAAAAACCAAGGUAUCCCAUAAUCCCGAUAUAGCAUAUAACACAAACUCAAACUAGACCUUUUUCCCUUCUCAGACCACUCUCUUCCGAGACACAUGCCUGUAAGCACAACAAUUGAGGAAGGUUCCUCACAAAUAAAUAAGAAUAAUAUAUAUAUAUAUAUACAUAUAUAGGUAUAACCACUACACCAAUACUAGUACGGGGGAAACAAUCCAACCUGGGGAUUGUUUGACUUAGGGCUAGGCAUUCAAACCGGCAACCCGGUCAAACCGCCCAAACCAAAUAGAUGGUUUAGGUUGGUUUGGUUUUUUUUCAAUCUUUUUUUGGUCAUCGGUUUGAACCCAAACCAAACUGAAAUAUAUGAUUCGGUGUACGGUUUGCAAUAUUCAAAACCACGAUUUAACCAAACCAAAUUGAAGAUAUUAAAAAAAAUAUUAUCAUAAGAUAUAUAUAAUACAUAGUUUCAAUCUUUCUUUUUCUUCUCUCUCAAUCUCUUCGUUUUCCUUGUCUUCAUCAGUCCACAUCUCUCUAUUUUUUUUUUCUCUUUCUUCUUACGUCUGUCUUCACUCCCUCUCCUCGUCUCCCUCUUCUUCUUCUUCUUCUUCUCUUUCUUUUCUUUUUCUCCUCUUCUUCUUCUUCUCCAUCUCUCCACCUUUUUUUUUCUUCUCUUCUCUUCUCUUCUCUCUCUCUCUCUCUCUCUCUCUCUCUCUCUCUCUCUCUCUAAGAAAGCCAAAAAAUCGAAACCGAACCAAAUCAAACCACCAAGUCUAGUUAACCGAAGUGGUCGGUUUUCAUCAAUUAUGGUUUGGUUUCGAUUUUAGCCAAACUGAGGCCUACGGUUCGGUGUUCGGGUUGAGCCCAAAAUCGAACCAACCCAAACCAAGCCCACCCAUAGUUUGACUAAACCACAUGCAGAAAUCCUCAAUACACUUGUGGCUAGGGAAGAGCAAUCCAAUAGGAACUAUUGCUCCCCACACAAGCACAACAGAAUCUUCAAUACUCGUGUGGCUGAAAUAAGUCUAACGCACGUUGACUGCCCGACAAGGGCCUAGGGUAACACCCAGUCAAGGGUGUCCGGGUUUCAACAUAUCCAAGUAUCCAUCAUUUCCAAGUAUCCAAGUGCCCGGAAGGUACAUAGGGUGGUGCUAACAGCACUUCAAUAUAACAUAUUGCACAUCCCAACAAAUAUACCAUAACCAUAUGCCAAAUUCCAAAUAUUCCAAAUUACCCAAUCCCAUAUACAUAGACAACCGAACAUUAAUAGAGUCCAUAACUCAAUACCCAAAUAUUUAAUCGUAGUAUAGAUAUCAAACUCUCAAAAGCAUAUAUACCAUAACCAAAAUAUUCACAAACUUCAAAUAUCAGUAUAACAUCCGAUAACCAUAAGAUAUUCUAACCCAUAAUUAAAACAACAAUAUAACUUCUUAAUCUCAAUAGUCAAAAUAAUCAAAUUUUAUAUAUAUGCAAUCCACUCUUUGAAAAUAAUGAUCAUUUGAAACAAAGUCCACUCACGAAAAGUACAAAGCUGCUUGACUUGCGGGGGUCCUUCGUGUUGAGUUCGUGGAGCUUGAGUACCUAUUUUACUGAACACGAGGACUUAAUCAAAACGACUAAACCAACCACGAACUUAAAUUCAACUCCCAAGCUCUAGCGAUUCAAAGUGUGUGUGCACGACUAUUGGGGAGUUUCUAAGGCUAAUAUAAUGCUUUUGAAAGGUGGAACGACCUUGGAAGACUCACGGUCAACCAAGUGGCCAAACUUCUCAAAUUGGUCAAUCGGGUCCGUGGGGUCACGACCUCUGAUUUUCGAUCCGAAAAUUCCAACUAGAUCCUAAAGGUAUAGAGAACAACAUAUUUGAAAUUAGGACCGAUUAUCGAACCCGAAUAUUGCAUAAUAUGCGUAAUAUUCGUCUGAUAGUCAAACGAUAACCAAUUCUAAAUCCAAGCAUACCGUCGUGCUAAGGACGAGUUGAGGAGUGUUUUAGAACAUAAUUUGCCGCCACAAAAUGGUCCACGCGCCGGCACCCACUGCCGAUAAUGCGUGGUGUCUUGAGAAAUUUUCAGCAAAAACACCCUACAAUACUUUUGCCAACAGAUUCAGAUUAACUAGGGGGUCAACUUUUGUUCUUGGACCACGGCCAAAAACUAGCCGGAACUAGCUGAAUCGAGCCGAAACCAUCAGCUAAAAUGGGAAUAUUGAACGAUAUGUAAAACCUCCAAAUGAAUCCCAAGAUACCUAUACUAACAGCUAGAGCAUGUUAAGGGGAUGAAGAAUCAUACAUUGGUCGACAUAAACAACCGCUAGAAUUGCAAGAAAUUGCACGAACAUCAUUGGCGAUUAAAUGAGGGUUUUGCAAGGUUUGAGUCCAAAAUCACGACCAAAUUUGGAGUUUUGAAGGUGGAAAUAGGUAUGCAAGUGUAGAGGAGGAAGAGACAAACGUUUUGUGGGUCGUGGUGUCUCCGGCUGUGGCCGGAUGGAGGAGAAAACACCAGCCAAACAGGCCGGUUUGUUUCGGGAAGAAGGAGAGGGUCGCUUAAGCAAGGAGAGAGAAAGUGAGAGAGAUCUGAUCGUUCGUUUUAAAACCCAACUUUGAAAAAAUUAUGGUUGUGCAACUACACUUCCGUAGACCACAACUUCUUUAUUUAAACUCGGAUUUGGACCUACUACGUGUCUACGAACUCGUGAGAGCGAGCUCUACGCAAUGGUGCCACUCAUUUUCUCAAAAUCCUUCUAGAUCGAAAAGGGACUAAAGUGACCCUACCCCCAAGGGCAAAAUUAUAAAUUCGGAAAUAAAAAUGAAUUGAAUAAAAUGAUUAAAUUAGAUCGAGAUGUUACAAUAUUGUUGUUGUUGUUUUUCUUUAAUUAAUGUAGCCCCCUGGUUCCUCCCUUUUUUUUUUUUUUUUUUUUUUUAGUGUAAGUUGUUUUUUUAUAUAAUUGUAACGACACUAAGAAAGAUACCAACUCACCACACAACUUAAAAAACAGAAGCUAAUUUAUAAGAAAAUAACUAAACAGAAAAGAAAACAAAGACGUCACAUAUUGUAAUUUUUAAAUAUAUAUUUUCUUACAAGCAAAAAAAUUCUAAAAAAAGAAACUUAAAUUUUUAUUUAAGUUAAACUUUAUAUAUAUAUAUAUAUUAUUGUUAAUUUUAAUUUUAAAGAAACAAAAACUUAAAAUUACUAAAAUAAUAAUAACAAAACAAGUAAAGAGAAAACAAAAUAAGAAUUAUUGUAUCACUCGUGUAUCACCAUGGUAUCACCACGUUAUCACUAUGGUGUCACCUGUUUAUCACGUUUUAGGUCAGAGAUGAAUUUAUGAACUUCCACUAUUUUUCAGUUUCAACCUUUGUCCCAUUUUGGACCUAUAACUUUCUAACCAUUAAUCCAGAUUUUAUGUUCUUUAUAUGGUUGGAUUCAGAAUGACAAAAUGGAGAACUCAGCGAGGACCGAAUGGUAAAAUUAGUUACAGAAGUGUACAUAAUUCAUUAAAACGAACAGUUAAAGUUUUGACACAAGAAAAACAAAGCAAAAAAACAUUCCCACCAAGAACUUAAAUGAAACAUUGUCCUUAAUGUUGAAAAGAGUAAAAUCAUAUCAUGCAAUGUAUCAUAAGGCCAAGGGACGAAACAAAGCAAAAUAAAAUUAAAACAAAAACUUAAAUUACUUAAAACUAAACAAGCAAAGAGGAAUGAUUGAAAAUUAAUACUCCCCUUUGAAGCAAUUAGACCAAGCAUGGAUGCAUUUGGAGGUCGCUUGGAGGUCGCGACUUCUCCCAAUACCCCACACUUCCCAUCCUUAUGAUUGGAGUUGCCUUCUCUCUUUCCCCUUUUUUAUUGGGCUAUCCUAGAUUGCUAAAACGAACACAGAAAACUUAAAACAGAAUUAAAAGAAUUAGGAAGGAAAAAUUAAUAUGAAAAGUAAAGCAAGUAGGGAAACAAAAUAAAACCAAACUAUGCUACCAAUCCCCGACAAAGGAGCCAAAAACUUCUUGUGUCGAUUCAGCUGCACCAAAGUUGAUUUAGCUACAUCCUCAACUUGUGAUAUUCGCAAGUGCAUGAACCGUUGGAUAGUAUAGUAUAUGUAAGUGCAAGGUCAAUCCCACAAGGAUUGAUGAUAGAUUGAUUCAAUUCGAUUCCCUGCAUAAAACAAAAAUGGAAACAAGGUUUAAAGAUUAUUGAGAAGAGUACAAGAAUUGAAAACUUAAAGUUUAAUCAAACAAAGAAGAAAGGCUCUAAAACUGGUUUUGGGUUUAAAAACAAUUCUAGGACACUAGGGAACAAUCCAAUUCUAAGUCUCAAGCAAUUAAGUGAAUAAGUUCAGUUCAGAUUCACAGAUUGAUUCUAGCUAAAGUAUGAGUAAGCCAUGGUAUCUAGUUCUAACCUUGAAUUCCUAAUUACCUAAUUAAGUCCUUGUUGUCGAACCUAAAUUAAGCAUUAGAAAUCCGUUAAGUAUAGAAGAAUGUUAUAAACAACCAAACAUAUGAAUGAUUUGUUUUGUUUUUCUUGUGUCAAUCUUGACAGGAUCAUAAUUACUUCAACUAAGAUAGCUAACAUACAAGUUUUAAUGGUGAUCAAUAAUUCAAACAAGCAUAUUAACUUAUAAGCAUAUGAAUGAUGUAGGACGAAAUAUGGGUCAAUUAUGGUGUGAAAAAUUAAUUAAAAUAAAGUGGCUCAAAGUUGGAAGGAAAUCGUGCAAGAGAGGAAAAUUCCAAUUAAAUGUCAAUUAUGGCACUAGGAAAAGAAGGAAGGCGUAUCGUUGGGAUUUUCUAAUUGAUUGAGCAAGUUUGAAGUAAUUAUGAUCCUGUCAAGAUUUAUAUUUAAUCUAUAUUUUGAAGAAUAAGUUAUCUAUUAGGAUAUUAUUUUCCUAAUAUGAUUUUUAUUAUUUUCUUAUUAGCUAAAUUUAGGAAUAUUCUAGAAGCUAGGGUUUCCUACAGUUUUAGGGUUUCUUUGUUUUCUAUUUAAGCCAACUCAUGGCAUUUAUUUGUGAGUUGAUUCAUCUUAUUUUCAAUCAAUAUUGAUUCAUCUUAUUUUCAAUCAAUAUAUUUGAGGUUUACUCAAUUUCUCUAGUUGAUUCCAGUUUGUUGGUGGAUUCCGACAUUGUUACUUAUAGGGUUAUCAUUCGAUCUUCCUAUCCUUUAUAUCUCGAUGCGUCAAUGAAUAAGAACAAGAACUAUAAUUGAAACUUGAAAACUAAUCAAACUUGAAAACUUAAAAUAAGAAAUUACGUAACAAUGAAAAAUAAAAUACAAUUAAGAAAAACAUAAAGAAAAAUCUAGCAAAAGAGUUUUAUUACAACAAUUGAGAAUUUAAAAUGAAAACUAAGAGAAGAAAAACUAAAAUAGUAGAUGCCCCUAGAUCCUUGCCUUCGGCUCCCCAUGGUCUCUAAUUCUAACUCUAUUUGGUGCCCAAAGUCUUGCACAACUUCUGCACACCUUUCAUACCUUAUUCUCUCUGCCGUAGCUCUCUAUUUAUAGAGAAUGAAAAUCUCUUGUAGCAGCACAUUUCCAUGUGGAUGUACGGUACAUUUCCAUGCCUAAGUCCUCAAAUAGUCUAUCUUGCUGCAUAUCAAACUUUCUUCAUGUGCUGGCUGCUGCACUUUUAAUUCAUCCACCUGUUACGGCAGCCUUUGCUUGCCUUUGGCAUUUGCAAACCUCCAAGAGGUUUUGCUGCCAACGUUCUUCUUUCAUUUCUUUGCAUUAUUCUUUCUCCUUUUGGUUGCUGCCCAUUCCUCUUUCUUUUCUUUAUCUUUCUCUGCUCAUCACGUGUUGGCAUAUUGGCAUUUUGUGUCAGCCAACAUCAUUCUUUAUACUUCUUCCUAUUCUUUUUCAUUUGCUGUCUGCACACAUGGUGGGCUGCUGCCCAAAGUUGCUCCCUUCAAUCUUUCCAACUCAUAUUUGCAUAGAAAAUUCCACCUUUUCUCCUCUAUUACAAUUGGUUUUAAUACAUUAAGAGGAAUUCUUUCAACUUUAAAAAUCUGAAAACCAAACUUCAUAAUGUAAAACAAUGUUACCAAGAGGUGUGGUAACAAGCAGAAAAAGAGGUAGCACACAAAUGACUCUACAAUAGGAUUAAAGCUCCCAAUGUAUGCUAGAGAGAGAGAGAGAGAGAGAGAGAGAGAGAGAGAGAGAGAGAGAGAGAGAGAGAGCAAAAGGCCCAAGAAGGGCAAAGAUGACUCCAAGUAAUUUUGCCUAAAACAAAAUUAUGCCUAUCUGUCGAUUCCAUGCAGAAAACGGGCUUGACAAAAACUAGAUUAUCUCUUUCCAAUUAAAGUCAUGUGGAGCCUUGAAAUUUCCAACUAAUAUUAAGAUUCUGUGCCUGUCGAUCUACUGCACAUGUGCCACAGUUAAGCUGCCAUUAGCAAAGUCCUUCGGAAAGCACCAUAUAAAAAAUGGCGGUGUUAUCAGCUUUAAAGCAUGUAUCUCUUGGGGCGUCUAUAGCCUCUAAGAUUUUACAUUUAUUACUAUCUUCCUUAGUUUCCAUUUCCACGUUCACUUUUGAUCGAUCCUGGUUGUAGUCGUGUAUUUGUGUUGUAAGUUGUGAUCACAAGAAGGAGGUCCUAAUUUUCUUAUAUUCUUUUCUCAUAAGGAAAAGAACAGUGUGCUCCUAUUAAAGACCAAAGAAAAAAAGAGCAUUAGAAAAAGAAAAGAUGACGGAGAAGGUGACUGUGAGCGUAAGGGAGUCAACGAUGGUGAGGCCUGCCGAGGAGUCGACGCCUCGGGGCUCACUGUGGCUCUCCAACUCGGACCUAGCAUUCACACCCUUUCACACGUCCUCUGUUUACUUUUAUAGAACAAGCGGUGAGCUCAACUUCUUUGAUCGGAGAGUGCUCAAGCAAGCGCUCAGCAAGGUCCUCGUGCCCUUCUGCCCCAUGGCCGGUCGAUUCAAGCUAAAUGACCAGAAUGGCCGUGGGGAGAUUGAUUGCAAUGCGGAGGGAGUGCUUUUUGUUGUGGCAGAGAGCAACUCUGUCGUUGAUGAUUUUGGCGAUUUUGCGCCCACUUCCGAUUUCCUUAAGCUCAUCCCCGCCGUGGAAUACUCGGUUGGAAUAUCCUCAUAUCCCCUUUUGGUGUUACAGGUAUUUAAUAAUGAUCAUCCAAGGUCUUUUAUAUUUUGUAAAAUUUGUAUAUGUAUAUACUUAUAUUCUCGUUGCACGCGCGUUACUCAUUGCAUCAUUUUGAUCUAGUUUUGGAACCGAAUAAGAUGUUUCAUUGAAUUUUGUCAUUUUAAAUUAUCAAGUCCUAGGUCACUCUCGUUCGCCUCUGCGGUCUCGUCAUGCUCCAAGUACCAUCGAAACACCACUUUUAACUCUUCUACUCUCCAUCAGAAAACUUUUGUUCUAUUUUGAAGCAUAUAUGUUGUCUGCAAAAUCCAAACCCACUCACAUGUCAUCAGAAACCCAAAUUCUGCAAUUUUGAGCAAUUGCAACUUCAAAUCCAAUCCAGUCUUUCCGAAUCAUCCCAACCCAUCUCUAUAUUAACGUAUUUCUCUUAAUUUUAAGUCAAGUUCAGUAAUAACAAACAUUUUCUAUUUGCAUCUCUGUACCAAAAGCUGUGGUUCUUUUCUGGUCACACAACCUGUGGUGCUUGAGAGAGAGAGAGAGAGAGAGAGAGAGAGAGAGAGAGAGAGAUUACCAGUAACCAUAUAUUUAUAUAUGGUUGUGUUUUAAUUUCUACGUAUAUAUGCAAACGCAGGUUACGUACUUCAAAUGUGGUGGUGUGUCGCUGUUGGAGUGGACCACCGCAUUGCAGAUGGAGCAUCUAGUCUACACUUCGUAAAUACAUGGUCUGAUAUUGCUCGUGAUGAUCUCUCAAAUAUUAAACCACCCUUCAUGAACAGGAUGUUACUUUGUGCUCGAGAUGCACCUCAGCCAGCAUUUCCUCACGUUGAAUAUCAACCUUUUCCACAAAUGAAAUUAGCUUCUGAUCAUCUGGAAAGCACAAGUAAUACUACUGCCUCGAUUUUUAGAUUUACGCGGGAGCAGCUCAACAUCUUGAAAGCCAACUCUGCGGAAGAUGACGGCGGGAAUAUUAAUACAAUCAAGUAUAGCACAUUUGAGGUGUUGGCAGGGCAUAUUUGGAGAUGUGCUUGCAAGGCACGUAAACUGCCAGAUGAUCAAGACACCAAAGUACUCAUUCCCAUUGAUGGACGGUCUAGAUUGCAACCCCCACUCCCACCCGGUUUCUUUGGCAAUGUCAUUUUUAGAGCCACACAUAUUGCUGCAGCAGGGGAUCUCCAGUCCAAACCAACAUGGUAUGCUGCAAGCUGUGUUCAUAAUGCUUUGGUCCAGAUUGAUGAUGAUUAUCUCAGAUCAGCCGUUGACUAUCUUGAGCUUCAUCGUCCUUGUGUUUCCCCACUUGUUAUGGGGGCCCUGUUGAUCAGGUGCCCGAAUCUUUGGAUAAACAGUUGGGUUAGGCUGCCGAUUCACGACGCUGAUUUUGGUUGGGGUCGACCCAUUUUCAUGGGGCCUGGCACACUAUUUGACGGGAUGGCUUUGUUGUUACCAAGCGCAACUAAUGAUGGGAGUUUAUCCCUGAUGAUUUCUCUGCAUUCUGAACACUUGAAAUCAUUUUCCAAGUUGUUGUAUGACAUAUGAGGAAAUGUCACGGUUGAAGAAAUUUGGUGCUGUCUGGUUUGAAUUGCUGUUAUUCCCCUCAUCUUUAUGGGUGUUCAAAUUUGAAGUUGUGUAUUGGUUCGUGCACGUUGCUUGAUUGAGUAUUGAAACUUUUUUUUUUUCGAAAGUAUGGUGGACUUCUUGUCCACAAUGCUGGUUGUGUUAUAUUGUGAUUCUUAAUAGAGGAUUCUCUUUCUCAUGAAAUUAAAAGAACAUUGGAACCAAAAGAGUAGGAGUCAUAAAGAGGUUCGAAAAUUUUGUAAAGAGAUUACCAAAAUAAUUAGAAAUCUGAACACCCCUCAAAGGUUACAAAACUCUUAUUUCUAGGCCUAUAGAUACAUCCGUUAAUGAUUGUACUUGCAGAACAUACAUUCCUAAUGUAAAAAUCGCUAUUAAUGAUUGUAUGUUCAAAAUGCAAAUUUAAACCAAGUAAUGAAUGUACAAUACGAAUAGACACUGUACAAUCAAGUAUGUUAUAUGAUUCAUAAUGCACUAUUACCUCUAUGAAUUUUGGCAUCUUUAUAUUAGAACAAUAUGAACUUUGGUUCGUAUCUAAAUGUAGUGUUAAAUUACAAAAUGGGCAUGGUCGGACCUCUUUAUUUUUGGACCUGCUUAGGCGUGGAUAAAGGUUAUCUGGGCUUUAUUUUUGGCCUUACUAGUUAUUUGCUUUUUUGUUGGGAGACCUUACUUUUAUUUGGUGUUAACAGAAGCCCCCUAAGUCCUAAAUUUGGUAUCAACAGAAGCCCCAUAAGUCUAAAAUUUGGUGUCAACUGAAGCCUCCUAAGUCUUAACUUUGGUGUCAACAGAAGCCCCCUAAGUCCUAAAUUUAGUGUCAACCACACCACUCUUUUCGAUCCAAUAUGAAGUCUUAAAUUGGUCAACCACGCCAAAACCCCAAGGAGUAAAAUACUCCUUCAAGUUCUGUUAGAGAUUCCUAUAUAAAGACUGCUCAAAGUCAAUACGAACACAUUUUUUAUUUUUUUUGGUCUGAAACUCAUCUUCAAAGAUUACACAUAACUCAUUUAAAAAAAUCUUGACAUAUUAUCUUUUAUUCAAAAACAUAUUUCUAAAUAGAUUCCAAAGAUUUCAGAGAUUUCCAAUGAGAUUACUCAGAGACUUCAAAUCAUAUAGGUCACAAUAGCCACUUAUUUCCAAUAUGAUUACGAAUUCGAGUCUAACUUCCCCAAUUGACGCAUAUUGUUAGAGGGCAAUGUGGUCCACCCGUCGUCCCUUUAGGCCUACCGCAUGAGUGCAAAAUGGGCAUGAUCGGGCCUCUUUGUUUAGGGCUUUCUUAGGUGUGGAUAAAGGUUUUAUGCGCUUUACUUUUGGCCUUUUGAUUCCAAUCAAUUACUUUAAGUGAUAGGCCCGCAAUUGACCUACCAUUUCCUCUCAGCUGGUUGCGUUGCUUGCCUCUUAGGGUACCUCCCAUCUUCCUGUUCAAAUUCUGGUUAUCGAAACAAUUCCAAUUUCAAAAACUUAUAUGGCGUUAAGUUUGGUGUCAACAAUGGAGUUUUGAUUUUAUGUUGCAUGUUUAAUAAUUCUUUAUUAUAUAUAUAUAUAAACAAAUGCUCAUGAGUCCUAGUUUUAAAUUUUCUAUCAAUAUAUAUGGUCUAAUUCUUUUUACAGUAUUUCAUUAAAGACUUAGGAGGCCCAUUAUUCAUUUUGUAUAUAAGCCUUAAAAUCUCAGAGCCGCCGGUGCAUAAAGUAAAGACAUUCAAAUCGGAAUUAUAACUAUUGGCUUAAUGUCAAUUUUCCUACCCUUUUCCCAGAGGGGCAUUGUGGAGACAAAAAUAUCACCAGUCAUGCCCUCACUCAAUCCGCACACAAAACAUGAAAGUAAUCUUAUGUGGAAAACUAGCAAUUGAACUUGUGAAAAAAUAGUGAAUGGACUUGGAUCAACAAUGCCAAAAAAAAAAAAAAAAAAAAUGUAUGCUGCUAAGCAACAAUGCUAUUAUUUAGGAGUGGUUGCGGUUCGGUAACCGCGAAUUUUUCUUUGAACCGCAAACCGAUAUACUAUUUCCGGUAAGGUGAUUUUUGAAAUUGCAAACCGACCGCAUUUUGCGGUUUACCGCAAACCGCAAAAAUCGGUUGAUUACCGUGAAUUAACGGUUUAAACCUAUUUGAAUAUUUUGGGCCUAAAUUAGACAAUUUUAGAUCUUUAAGUGUGGUCCUUUUGUGUCAAAAAAAUUCAAUCUUCCACACUUUUAAGCCUAGGUUUGAUGCUUCUUUUGAAGCUUUUUGAGUUCAAGCAUACGUUAACCAAAAAAUAUAAAUCACAACCUAAAGAAAUAAAUUCAUGACCUCAACUUCUCAAGCAUAUAUAAAUUUACAACCUAAAGAAAUAAAUUCACAACCUCAACAUCUCAAGCAUAUAUAAAUUCACAACCUCAACCUCAACUUCUCGAGCAUUCACAACCUAAAGAAAAAUCCAAUUCAAAGUUAAUUAAAGUUAGAAACCAAAAAGAAAAUGCAAUGCAAAAUGAAUUAAAGUUACAACCCAAAGGAAAAAUCCAAUUCAAAGUUAAUUAAAGUUAGAAACCAAAAGGAAAAUGCAAUGCAAAAUGAAUUAAAGUUACAAUCCAAAGGGAAAAUCCAAUUCAAAGUUAAUUAAAGUUACAAACCAAAAGGAGUGUAGGUGGUGGUGAGUGGAUUUUAUUAUAAGAAGAAACCAUUCUUUAUGAGUUGGAGUGGAGGCUGUGUUUUGGGUGUAUCGGUUUGUGUUUGGGGGGAUUAGAGGCAUUAUGUGUGUUAGAGUGGCUAGACUCCAACUAUAACACAACACAACACAAAAGCAACAACAUAAAAGCAUAUUAAUAACAUAUUAAACUCAACCAAAUUAAAACACAACAUCUAACUACUAAAAUGCAACUUUUUUUAAAAAAAUAUUUGCGGUUUGCGAUAACCACGAGUUGCUAAAAUCACAUACCGCAACUGCAACCGCAAUUUUCAGUUGGUUUUUAGCUAUUGCGGUAUAAUGUCGGUUGAUUUUUGCGGUUUUUCGGUAUAACAUGCCACCCCUACUAUUACUAGUAAAAGUGCCACCGAAAAUAUUAUCAGCACCUGUAUGUUGCUUUGCUCUUACUUGAAAAAAAAAAUACAUGAGAGUCAAACAAGGACUAAUAAGGGGCAAAGACCUAUCCCAAAUGACUAUUUUUUAUUACGAAAGAUUCAUCCCAAUAAUAAGUAAUUGCAUAUUAGGGGUGUUGUUAGAAGCACGUUAAAUUUUGUAUUGAAAAUUAAAGUGCAUUAUGGAAAAGCUCUUGAAAUUGUGAGAGUGAUUUAAGACUCAUAAUCAUUUUUAAAAUUUUCUUGCCGAGUAUGUCAAUAACGUCUUUCAUUGUGAGAAAAUGGUUUUAGUCGUUCCAUAACAAUGCCUAACAAAUGUGAAAUUGGUACUUAGGUGACGAGGGGUAAAGUUAAAUGCUAUUCAAGCGGACACAGCGAUCUUCACACACUUUAAACCUUGACCAAAUAUACUUAUGACUAGUCAAUUGCUAGUCUUGAAAAACCAUAACCAAAAACACACAUAGAGCAUAACAAUCUGUACUUGCAAGUUUAGAAGAUUAUUAGUGACAACCUAGGCACUUAGAAUGUAACACCCCGAGUCCAAAUUUAAUUCCUAUUUUAAAUUAUUUAAAUGAAUUUACGAAUUUACCCUUAGGGUAGGGGUAAAUUGGUCAAUUUCUUACCCAGAAAGUGUUUGGGGCAGUAACUGGUAUUUUUGGGUAGGUGGUACUAAGACGAAUUCAAAGACACGCGGUAGGCUUGAAUCGGAGUUGUAACGAAGAAGUUACGGGCAAAACACUAUCAGUGGCAAAAUCGUAAAUAUUUUGAAGUUUGGGUUUAAAAUAUCUGAUCUCUCUCCCUCUCUCUCUCUCUCUCUCUCUCUCUCUCUCUCUCUCUCGCGGCUGAACCCCCCUCCCCGUUUCGAUUUUUCGCCGGAAUUUCAGACGGCGAGAACUUCGCCGUCCGACCUCCAUUUCAGGCCCCGUUUCUUGCAAAAGCUUCCUCUCUUCCUCCUCUACCCAACCCACCCCUUUUCUCCGAUCGAAAACCCGACAAACGGCGGUGGCAACGACGUGAAAAAUAGCCAAAACUGCCGACGUCACCGGCAACGUUUCCGGCCAUCGCGAGCUGCGCCGUCACUUGGAACAGGUAGCUCUCCUUCCCUUCCAGCUGUUUCCUAGGUUGUGCGAUGACAAUGUCCACGGUGGUCGUCAGAUCGAAGCCGUGAAGUUCUGGGUUAAACCGUGAGUUUUCAACGCCGAUUCCGGCCCCUUGCCGUCCGAAUUGGACUUGGGUGUAGUUGAAUAAAGUGUUCCACUCGUCGAGUAGAACCUGUAGCCGGAAGGGUGGCUUGUAGUUUGGAGAUUUUCUAGCGAAGCUUUAUCGCUUUGGACACCCACACGCUGCCGGCACGUGGGCACUGUAGCAGAGGGGCAUUAUUGUCCCAAUGCGACCUCCUGGUUGGCACGAGCACGUAGGAUUUUGCGGAUCUCAAUUCGGACAUCGUUUGACUAUCGAACGAAUUUUUGCAUAUUGUGCGUUAUCCGGGUUCGAUAGGUUCCGACCGUUAGAUCCUUUCCGAAUUAAAAUAUGUUAUUCUAGGUAUUCCUAGGAUCGUAUAAGAAUUCUCGGAUCGUGAAUCGGAACCCCGGAUGUUCCGAUUCAAUAACUUAAAGUUUGCGUUUUAUAAUAACCGUCCGAUUGUGCGAUCGUAAGCCAUCUAACUGUCCGUUUCGGACCAAACUUGCGAGACGGGUAUCUUAGACCUUGUGAAACCUUUAGGAACUUUCGGGUUGUAAAACGGAGGUCGUGGGUCCCGUGGGCCCGGUUGACCCAAAUUGGGAAGUUUGACCACUGGUUGACCGAGUGUCUCCUGAAGUUAUUCCAUCGUCCAAAUCGGGUAGUUGGAUCUUAGAACGUCUCGUUCCUAGUACACUUACUAGAAACCUGGGAAAUUAGGAUAUUUAAUUUAAAGUACUCGUUCGAAACGUUUCGUAUUAAUCUCGUAUACGUAUUCUGAAUUAGGUACUCCGACUACGCAUACACAGCAGGCGGGACCCUCUCAGGGUCAAGCAGCGUGGGACUACUUGUGAGUGGACUUUGUUUUCAAAUCUUGUGCAUGGUUUUAUUGAUGAAAGAUUUAUGCAUAAUGUUUUUAAUGAUUUAUUGAAUAUAUUAUAUUCAUGAGUUGAAUUUGAUGUUUGUAUAGUGCUUUGGCAUAGUUGGGUAUUGAAAGUAUAUUUUAUAUGAAUUUUGGGAAAUAUUAUGUAUGAUGUUUUAAAUGGUAUUUUGGAUAUAUUAUUUAUGAAAUUGUUGAAAGUGAUAUUUUUAUGAGGCAUUGAAAAUAUAUUUUGGGUUUUGACGUAUUUGAGUAUCUUGAGUAUGAAUAUAUGGAUUUUGGGGAUUUCUAUAUAUAUUUGGCUAUGUGUGAGGUACUUGGGUUGUUGAGAUGAGAUUAUGGAAAGUGGUCAGUAUAGAAUGUCAGUUUGGUGUGCUGUAAGCACUACCCUAUGUACCUCCCCGGAUGUGGAACUUGGAUACGGAGACUUGAGAUACUUGGAAUUGUCGGGACUCGGGGCAUCCUUGACGGGAUGUUGCUGUAGACCCUUAAUUGGGUAGUCUGCGCUCGUAGGACUGAUCACAGACGUACGGAUUUUGAGGUUAUCGGCAGUACGCGCUGGCUGAGAGUUGGUCCCCCAGUUGGACAGCUCGUUCCCUAGUCACAUGGUGGAUUGAGGACUCAUCACGAGGACUCUGCCAGGGUGACUAGUCAAACAAUCCCCCGGUUGGAUUGUUUCCCCGGUACAACUAGGUGAUGGUUAUAUUUAUACUAUAUAUAUAUAUAUCUCUCUUAUAUUAUAUAUUUAUAUCUAUUCAUUCAUUCUUGUUUUUCGGUGUGGAUACUUCCUUGCCGGUCGUGCCAAUGGGUACGCUUUCGAGAGUUUGGUUGUGGGAUUUAUAAGUUUUUGGAUAGUAGGUUUUGUGAAGCGUUCGUUUUGGAUUUCGGACUUGGAAUCUGGUAUUGAUUUGUUUUGUUAUAUUAUAUAUAUAUAUAUACUUGAGUAUGACGGUUUUGAGAUGCAUGGGAUUUCUUGCAUGGUUUUCUAAACGGUGGGGUUAUAUUACGUUGGUUUACACUGAACUGAAUUUAUUUUUGUCUACUCACAAUUUUCUGUUUUGCGCCCCCCCAGCCAGUAGUUGACUGAGCUCCGCAGUAGAGCCGGAUCGUGCGCUUCCGAGCCUUGAGUCAUCGUAGGACUCUUUCUUCAUGUUAUUUCCUUUGUACUCUGUUUUGUUGUAAUUAAAGUCCUUAGACAUGCUCUGUUAUCGCCCCUGUUAGGGUUUGAAUUGUGAGGUCGGAGGCCAUUUUGUUGUAAACUGUUUAUUCGUUUCAAAGCAUGCUGCUGGUUAGGAUUAUUCUGUAUUUUUAUGCAGGUUGAAUUUUGUUGGUUUGUUCAAUUCACAGGGGAGACUCUGCCAAAAUUUUGGUGGAGAGUCUCGGUUUUUAGUAAGUGGGCCCGGCAUCGGGAAGAUGUCGGAAUAAAGAUGGGAUUCGCUCCGGUCUCCGGGGAAAUUCCGGGGCGGGUCCUGUCAUAGAAGGACCCGUUAAUCUAGGCAUCCCCUGUGCUAGCAACACUAUGGUAAAAGUGUGUGGAAACAUCAUAAUCAAGUAAACAGCAAAUAACAGAUAAUGAUGACUAGUCAACCGCAAGAACACAAACCCAUAAAUGCAUGAAUAUCAUGCGAUGACUAGUCAACUAUCAAGAACAUAAACCCAGAAAAUAACAAAGCUGCAAACCAAAAAUUGUUCACCCACAAACCUACAACUGGGAAAAACUGGGGGUCAUCAACAGACCAGGCAAUCCUCUAAGCGAAGAAAAUUCUUACAAAGGAACACAAGCAAGCUCAAAAAAUCCUAGAUCUAUUUAGGAAGAUAAGCUAUACCUCCUUUGUGCAAUCUUCUUAUCCAACUUAACAAAACCAGUAGCUUAUUCCUUCAUGGCAAUGGUAGCUCCUUCUUCGGCUCUUUCAUCACAGGGCACCAGCUAGCCAGCUCAAAUUCAGAUAGAAACCAAAAUUUGGAUUCAAGGAAAAAUGAUCAAUUUUUUCAAGAAACCAUGCUCUUGAAGAAAUCAAUCUUGAAUCUGACCAAGAUGUAUAUGAGGAUGUGUUUGUUGUGUAUCAUGCUUGUUGCAUAAUUCAGCUUGUCUAUGGGGAUAAUGGGUCAUUUAUGUAUCAUCAUGGAUAUGGUUAUGCACCAUAUGACACAUAUGCAACAUCUCUGUUAAAUUUACUUUUGAAUGUCAAUGUCCCUUCCAAUUAUGUUUAAAAUUCAGGACCUUGAGAAAACACCUCUUAUGUGAGAAACUUUUUUCUAUCCUGACAUCAUUGUGUAUCAUGUUUGUUGCAUAUUUCAGGCUGUUUAUGGGGAUAUUGGGUCAUUUAUGUGUCAUUUCAAGCGUAUAUGGGGUAACUUCACUUCAUCUUUUUUUUAAAAAAAAAAUGUUCCUCACCCCUCUGCCUCCCCCUUUAUUCAAAACAAGGGCAACCAUUAUCCCAUUUCAACCUCUCACAACUAGAGCUAAGCUAAAGCACAAGGGAAUUUUGCAAAGAGGUAUAUUUAAUAUGUGCAGCUUAUUUUAAUUUUGGCUAUUUAAUUUGGGAAUUUUAGGAGCUUAGUUUGAUUUGUAUUGUGUUUAUUUAAUUUGUGCAGCCUUGGUUUAAAGCUUUGGUUGCCUUUGCGAUUCGACAAGGAUUGAUUUCGUGAUUGCUGUGAAAGUAAUCAAAUAUAAAAAAAAAGAAAAAGAAAAAGAAAUUGCUUAAACACGUUUGGUACUUGGGCAUUUUUUGUUGAGUCUAAAUGUUAAAUUGCGACUUCUUUUUUUCUUUUUGGUUUAAUAUUGGAAUUUUAGCAGCUUGGUUUUAUUUUUAUUAUGUUCAUUUAAUUUGUGUAGGCCCUUGUGUAAAGCUUUGGUUCCCUUGACAAUUCAAAUAUGAAGAGUUGUUCCUAGGAACUUAUAGUAAUUUUACGUAUAUUUUUAUGACUUUUAAAAAUUAUAAAUUUUACAAAUAACAGAGAAAUGACAUGUCAUAAUUGCAAUGCUACAUCAGUACUUGUUUGCCACCAAAAUUUCGUAAACGCUUCAAAAGGAUUCGCUAGAGCUUCAACAUUGCUUCAUCUACUAUUCACUAAAGCUUCAUAAUAUUAUUUUUAUUUUUGGCUUAAGUGUCAAAAUGGUCCAUGUGUUUUAACACAAUGGCCAAUUUAAUCCCUGUGUUUUUAAUUUGGCCAAUUCGGUCCUUGUGUUUAUGAUCAUUAGCUAAUUUAGUCCAUCCAGUUAAAAUAGUCGUUAAAUAUGAACAUGAUUGGUUUUUUUUUUUUUUGAAAACGUAUAAAGCUUUUUUAAAUUAAAAAAAGUUGAAUUGAUUUAAAAAUAUUAAAACUUCAAUUAAACUAACAUAACAUUAGGGAAAAAAAAAACUUGAAAAAAUGAAGGAGGCGUAGUCCGGGGAGGGGAAGGGCUGCUUAAUGAGUGGAGUAGUGGGAAGAGGGGUUGACCAUUGCAGGGUGGGGGUGGGUGAUGAAUGAAGGCAUACAACAGAAGAGGGAGAGAUGGGGGUUGGAGAUGGUGUGAACGAUCUGGGAGCCAUGACUGAGGAUGGGGCAAAUGGCUAGGCAAGGGUUAGGUUCUGGAAGAUCUUGCUGGGAGCUGGUCAAAUAAGGGUAAAUGGCUAGACAAUGGUUGAACUCAAAUAAUUAUGUUUUUAAUUAAUGUUUAAAUAGUUUUAAAUUUUUUUAAACUUAGAUUUAAAAGAAUAGAUCACAUUGAUUAAUAGUUGUAAACACAAGGACUUAAUUAGCUAAAUUAGAAACACAUGGACUAAAUUGACCAACGUAAUAAAACACAGGGUCCAUUUUAGCAUUUAAGCCUUUAUUUUUUGACUAAGUCUUCAUUAGUGCUUUUAUGAAUGUUUUAAGAUGAACUCAAAAGACUUGGAAAGUGUAGCACUGAGUUUGUAGAAUUUUUUGUUCUGUAGUUUUUGGCUAUUUAAUGAAUUAUUAUGAUUUUUAGAAGAGUGCACCAUGAGUGCUUCUGACAAGCGACAUUUCGUGUAGCGCCACGUGUCAACAAGGUUUUAUUUUGUGUUUGUUUAUCUUUAAAAAUUCACAAACAAUUAAUUUUUAAAAAAAAUCCUUAAUAUCUACAAAUUUUAUGUGACAUUAUCUUCGACUAUGAUGUGCAAAAAUCAAAAUUUGACUUUAGAAAAUUUGAAUUAAUAAUUCCAGGAAGAGUUGUAGUGAGGGAGUUUGAGUUUGAUAAAGUAUUUGAAACUUUUUUUAUCUCAAAAUAUAUUUUAAUGCUUAAAAGAUGAAGAAAAAAUCAAAAGGAGUUCGUAGGAUUUUUCGGUACAUAUUUAUGAUUUUUGGAAAUUAAAGCAUCGAAAAAUAGUAAUAAAUGGAAGAGAAUGACAAGUGGAAGCACCUAAAUGUUGCAUCAUCAAUGCUUCAGACAGGUAUCAUUCUCACGUAACACCACAAGUCAUCAGCGAUAGCACUUCUCAUUCUCUUCCAUUUAUUACUAUUUUCCAAUGCUUUAACUUCAAAAAAGUCAUAAUAAAUCAGAAAAAUACACCAACAAAUCCUAUGAAAUCAUUGCAACAUUUUUUUUUUCAUCUUUUAUGUUUUAAAAUAUAACUUUGACUUAUAUAAAAUUCAAAUAAUUUCACAAAGUCAAGUUGCUUCCAUACUAACAAUAACACUAAGUUGAAGAUCACUAGUCUUCAUCACUACAACUCUUCCUCCAAUUAUUCUUUCCAAUUUCUCAAAGUCAAAUUUUGAUUUUCUAGUAUCCUAGUCGAAGAUAAUGUCACAAGGAAUUUGUAGGAAUUUUCAGUGUAUUUUUCUAAUUUUUAAAUAAUUUUCUGUGAAUUUUUUAAGAUAAACUCACAAAAAUGAAACAUGAAUUACACGUGGACCUAUGAGAUAUUGACACCCGUUGGAAAAUCUGACGACGAACCCAUCAGCUGCUGCCAUGUGUCAUUAUGUUUCAUUUAUUACUAUUUUCCUAUAUUUUGACUUCCAAAAAUCAUAAUAAAUUCAUAAUAAAUUUGAAAAAUUCACCAAAAAAUGCCUCGGACUCCUUGUGAUAUUUCCAACAUCUUUUGAGACUUAAAAUACAAUUUUAACUUAGAGAAGAAUUCAAAUAAUUUCAUAAAGUCGAGUUUGCUUCCACACUAACAAUAAUACUAAAUUGAAGGAUCACUAGUCUUCAUCAAUACAACUCUCCUUCCAAUUAUUCCUUCAAAUUUCUCAAAGUCAAAUUUUGAUUUUCGAGUAUCAUAGUUGAAGAUAAUGUCGCAAGGAAUUUGUAGAAAUUUUCGGUGUAUUUUUCUGAUUUUUUAAAUGAUUUUUUAUGAAUUGUUUAAGAUCAACUCACAAAAAUAAAACAUGAAUGACACGUGGACCUAUGAGAUACUAACACCCAUUGAAAAAGCUGACAAUGCACCCAUCAGCAGCUGCCAUGUGUCAUUAUCUUACAUUUAUUACUAUUUUCCUAUAUUUUGACUUCCAAAAAUCAUAACUAAUUCAUAAUAAAUCUGAAAAAUUCACCAAAAAAUACCCUAGACUCCUUGCGACAUUUCCAACAUCUUUUAGGACUUAAAAUAUAAUUUUGAAUUAGAUAAAAUUCAAAUAAUUUAACAAAGUCAAGUUGCUUCCAUACUAACAAUAACACUAAGUUGAAGAUCACUAGUCCUCAUCACUACAACUCUUCCUCCAAUUAUUACUUCAAAAUUUUCAAUGUCAAAUUUUGAUUUUCGAGUAUCAUGGUCGAAGAUAAUGUCGCAAGGAAUAUGUAGAAAUUUUCAGUGUAUUUUUCCUAUUUUUUAAUGAUUUUUCGUGAAUUUUUUACAAUAAACUUACAAAAAUGAAACAUUAAUGACACGUGACGCUAGGAGAUACUGAAACCUGUUGGAAAAGUUGAAGACACACCCAUCAGGCGCUGCCAUGUGUCAUUUUCUUCCAUUUAUUACUAUUUUCCAAUAUUUUGACUUCCAAAAAUAUAAUAAAUUCAUAAUAAAUCUGAAAAAUUCACCAAACAAAUACCACGGACUCCUUGCGACAUUUCCAACAUUUUUUUAGACUUAAAAUAAAAUUUUGACUAAGACAAAAAUUCAAAUAAUUUCACAAAGUCAAGUUUGCUUCCAUACUAACAAUAAUACUAAGUUGUAAAUCACUAGUCUUCAUCACUAUAACUCUUCCUCCAAUUAUUACUUCAAAUUUUUCAAUGUCAAAUUUUGAUGUUUGAGUAUCGUAGUCGAAGAUAAUGUCGCAAGGAAUAUAUAGAAAUUUUCGGUGUAUUUUUCUGAUUUUUUUUAAUGAUUUUUCAUGAAUUUUUUAAGAUAAACUCACAAAAAUUAAACAUUAAUGAUACAUGGCGCUAUAAGAUAUUGACACCCGUUGGAAAAGCUGAUGAAGCACCCAUCAAGAGCUGCCAUGUGUCAUUUUCUCCCAUUUAUUACUAUUUUCUAAUAUUUUGACUUCCAAAAAUCAUAAUAAAUUCAUAAUAAAUCUGAAAAAUUCACCAAAAAAAUACCCCAGACUCCUUGCCCAGACUCCUUGCGACAUUUUCAACAUCUUUUGAAACUUAAAAUAUAAUUUUGACUAAGAGAAAAAUUCAAAUAAUUUCACAAAGUGAACUUUGCUUCCAUACUAACAAUAACCCUAAGUUGAAGAUCACUAGUCUUUAUCACUACAACUCUUCCUCUAAUUAUUACUUGGAAUUUUUCAUACUCAAAUUUUGGUUUUCGAGUAUGAUAGUCGAAGAUAAUGUCGCAAGGAAUAUGUGGAAAUUUUCGGUGUAUUUUUUUGAUUUUUUAAUAAUUUUUCAUGAUUUUUUUAAGAUAAACUCACCAAAAUGAAACAUUAAUGACACGUGGCGAUAUGAGAUACUAACGCCCAAUGAAAAAGCUGACGAAGCACCCAUCAGGUGCUGGCAUGUGUCAUUCUCUUCCAUUUAUUACUAUUUUUCAAUAUUUUGACUUCCAAAAAUCAUAAUAAAUCUGAAAAUUUUAUCAAAAAAUACCACGGACUCCUUGUGACAUUUCUAACAUUUUUUGAGACUUAAAAUAUAAUUUUGACUAAGAGAAAAAUUCAAAUAAUUUCACAAAGUCAAGUUUGCUUCCAUACUAACAAUAACACUAAGUUGAAGAUCACUGGUCUUCAUCACUACAACUCUUUCUCCAAUUAUUACUUCAAAUUUUUCAAUGUCAAAUUUUGAUUUUCUAGUAUCAUAGUCAAAGAUAAUGUAGCAAGGAAUAUGUAGAAAUUUUUGGUGUAUUUUUUUGAUUUUUUAAAAUGAUUUUUCGUGAAUUUUUUAAGAUAAACUCACAAAAAUAAAACAUUAAUGACACGUGGCGCUAUGAGAUAUUGACACCCGUUGGAAAAGCUAAUGACGCACCCAUCAUGCACUGCCGUGUGUCAUUUUCUUCCAUUUAUUACUGUUUUCCAAUAUUUUGACUUUCAAAAAUCAUAAUAAAUCUGAAAAAUUCACCAAAAAAAUACCCCAGACUCCUUGCGAGAUUUCCAACAUCUUUUGUGACUUAAAAUAUAAUUUUGACUUAGAAAAAAAUUCAAAUAAUUUCUCAAACUCAAGUUUGUUCCUAUAGUACCUAUAACACUAAGUUGAAGAUCAUCACUCUUCCUCACUAUAACUCUUCCUUCAAUUAUUACUCCAAAUUUUCAAAAGUCAAAUUUCAAUUUUCACGCAUCAUAGUUGAAGAUAAUUUCUCAAGGAGUUUUUUAAAAAUUUCAGUGCAUUUUUCAGAUUUUUAUUAAUUUUGUGUAAUUUUUUUAAGUCAAGCACACAAAAAUGAAACUUUGAUGGCACAUGGCACUAUGAGAUACUAACACCUGUCGAAAACUCAUCAUGUGCUACCAUGUGUGAUGCUCUUCCAUUUAUUACUAUUUUUCAAUGCUUUAACUUCCAAAAAUCAUUAAAAAAAAUCUGAAAAAUUCAUAAUAAAAAUCCUAGGAACUCCUUACAAUAUUUUCUUCAUCUUUUAAGUUUUAAAAUAUAAAUUUGACAUAUAAAAAGUUCAAAUAAUUUCUCAAGACAUUAUCACUCGUCAUUUUCCCCCAUUCAUUGCAUUUAAUACGAAUUUUUGAAGUUAAAGCAUAGAAAAUAUAUAAAUAAACUGAACAUAAUGACACAUGGGAACAGAAAAAUGAUGCGACUUCAGUUCUUUAAACGGGUGUCCUCUUAUAGCGCCAUGUGUAAAAAAUGUUUCUUUUUAAUAUUGUUUAGCAAUAAAUGGGAGGAAAUGACAAGUGCGAGUGCCUUGAGGCUGCAUCCUCAAUGCUUCUCACGAGUGUCACUCUCAAUGGCACCAUGCGUCAUUAAAGUUUCAUUUUUGUAUGUUUAUCUUAAAAUUUUUACAAAAAAUUUAUAAAAAAUCAGAAAAAUAAAUGUGUCAGAGCAGUGUUUAUAACACGUGUCAUUGUUGAAUUACACCACGUAUUUCUAGAAUUACUCUAAGUGUAGAAUAAUAUUUCACCAAAUAUAUGGGUUAAAAUAAGUUCCAUUAACAUUUAUACAGUCAAUAGGUGUACAAGAAAGUUAAACUGAGGUUUCACACAUAUUUCACGUAAUAUGCACUAAUGUUUCACUUAGUGUUCAUCCGAACCUAACUUGUGCAAUUAUCGCCAAUUAGAAGAGUCAUAAAGCCUUUAAUUACUCUACACUUCUUCACUGAUCCUUCUGCAACCAAAGAUUUGAAAAAUAACAGAAAUUGUCAACAACAAAAAAAAUUUAUCUAGCGAGAGUCGAACUGCAAAAUCAAAUGGUAACCGUACAACUGAGUUCUUACCUAGCGAGAGUCUAAGUGCACAAUCAAAUAUCCACAGAGAAAAUUGUUGAAGGGGCACAAGACCCAGAUGGGAAAUAUCGAUAAAAUCAAUUAAGUAAAAAAAGAGUUGAGAAACUUGCAAAACUUACUGAGCGGAAGAACAUGGGAAUAUAUAGGAGCAACCAAGAACUUAAAUUGGGAGCCCGUGCUUCUCUUUCUAAUAGCAGCCUCCCUUUCAACAUAUUCAUGUACACAAUUUGAUAUCAAUUACUAAUACAGAGAAUAAAUUUCUAUGAAUUGAAAGGCAAAAUCUAUGUUGUGGGUUUCGCGGAACUUACUGAUUAGAGGGAUUAGACGAUGGGGGCCAGGAGGCCAUGGCGGAAAAAUUUCUGAAGAUGAGAGGAGUGAUGCUUUGUAUAGAAAUGGAAGCAAGGAAAUGGGUAAAUUAAGGGCAUGAUCUGACCUGGUUCCCUAAAGCACCUCACCACCCUGAUUCCCACAUGAAACUACCACGCACCAGACACAAAAAACCAUUGACUCUUAGAAGUUGAUUUACUCCUCCUAAUCAACUGCCCCUCAGCACUUUGGAGAUAGUAAAACCCAGUUUGUUUAGGAUUCCUCUUCAAGAGAAAGGAGCACAUCAUAUGGUGAAUGCUCGGUUCAAAUGAAUUCACUUCAUUCCAUAUCACGUACAUGCUCUGCAACGUCCGAUAAAUGUUCUGAUUCAUCUGGAUGAGGUGCAAUACCCAGCAAUGUCCAAUAAUUCACAUCGUAGUGGCAAGCUUCCAUUCCCACUCUUCAAAAUCUCUCUCUCUCUAUAAGAGCAUUUCCACCAGUUAGCCCCUUGUCAUGACAAGAGGAGCCCUAGGGCAGUUACUAUUCACGUGAAUAGUGGCUGCCCUAGCCCCCUCAGCAAAGUGUGUUUCCAGCAGUUUAGACUUGUCAUGGCAAAUACUAUUCUUUUUUUUUUUCACAACUUUUUUUUACUUAAACAAUUAAUUUGGAUAAUAUUUUCAGAUAAGAUUUUUGGGUUUCUACGUGUCAAUACUAUUCAUAUUAGAUAAUAUUUUCGGAUAAGAUUUUAUUUUAUUAGUUGUAUUGGUUGGUAUUUAUAGGAAAAAAAAAGUAUGAGGAUUUGGUGUUAAAAGUGAAGAGUAUUGGUUAGUAUUUAUAGGCACUGGCGAACCCAAAAUUUUUGUAGCAGAGGUGCAAUAUUGACUAAGUAUGAAAAAUAAUUUUUUGGAAUAAUCAUUUUCUCAAGAUAAUUUUUUGGCAGCUUUUAUUCCUUACACAUCAAUAAAUAAGAAAACUUGAUUUUAUGAAAUUUUAAUAUGAAGUAUACAUUGACUUAAUGAGCCAUCAUUUUUAGCCUAAAUCGUAUUUUGCACUAAAACCGAUUUUUCAUAUUUUGAUUUGAUGAGAAUUUGAUUUUCUAGUAUUUUUAUUUGAAUCCAAAUAGAGGGUACUUCCUUAUUUACAUUGUAAACUUAAGUAAAUGGAGUAAUAUAAAAAUAAAUGAAAAUAAAAGGACAAAGACAUUUACUUAAAUGUUGAAAAUGGAAAUAAGGUAUAGAGAAAAAAAAAAUCAGUAAUUUUUUUGGUAUUUUUUUAAAAAAAUAUCAUUGUAUAAACAUUGGCUAUUGUUGGAUUGCUGGAAAAAAUAUGAUCGGAGAGCCUAGCGCUCGCCACGUGGACGAUUUAAAAAAAUUUGGACGCAGGGCUGACGUCGACGUGAUGUCAGGACGCUGACAUCAGCCUUGCCCUCGGGCCAGCCCAGUCUGCUGGGUCCCACUAUUUGCCUGGGCUUGCUUUUGUUGCUGGAAACCACUUUUUUGUCCAAACCCCCUAGCUCGAGUCCAUCCUUAGCUGCUGGAAAUGCUCUAAGUAGAUCUCUCUUCUCUUACUCCCACUCUGUCUCUAUUCUUUAAUCAACCUGUCUCUCAUGAAACUUUUGUCGAACACAUAAUGGUGAAGUGGCAGCCUUCUCCGAAUUCCAGCAGCCAAAUUUGUGAUGAGGCUUCCAAAUUUAAUGCCUUUUGUAAUUUUUUAGAUAGUUAACACAUUUAUUCAUUUUUAACCAUAAAAAUCCAAUAUGUUUAGAAAGCUUCCUGAGAAACAAGGAAAAGAAGAAUAAAUUCUUGUUUUUCAUUUCUGGGUAAAGCCAAGAAGCAAGAAAAAGAAGAAUAAAUUCUUGUUUUUCAUUUCUGGGUAAAGCCAAGAAGUUCAAUAUUUGAUAAUUGUUAAUAUAUUUUGUGAGUUGUUGAGAGAUGAGAUUUUGGGGCAAAGUUAAGAAGAAGGAAAAGAAAGAAAAAGACAGGACGUGGAGGGCGUGAGAAAGAAAUAGAAACAAAAAAGGACGUUAACUUUGUCGUUAGUUGGAUUAGGGUUUUUUUUUUCUUUUUCUUUUUUAAGUAAGAGUAAAUUGGGUUUUUGUUUGAAGGAUGAUGUGUCAAUUUUUAAGUUCCUUAUAUUAAAUUUUAAUGAGGUGUCAUCUAUAUAUAUAAAGCAAAAGGCAGAGAAUGGUGAAACAUUCAAAAUACCAGAAAAUGCCCUUGGUUAAUGCACAUUAAGAAUUAAAAUUAUUAAUUAAAUGAGGAUAAUAUGGUAAAUUCAUAAUUUUUCAUAUUAAAAAAAUUAAAAUUAAAAGAAAAUUCAGAUAAUGGAUCCUAUUUUUAUGGAACACAACUAUCCAUUAUCUUUUUUAAUUCGAAAAUAAAUUUAAAUUUUUUUAAAAAAGCCUUUCGCAGGCGCAGAAGCGCGUGCAGAGAGGCUAGUAUGAAUAACAAAGUAAAGUAAAUCAUGACAGAGAAAAUCAGAGCAAAAGAUCCGGAUACUACAGAAAGCUAUAUGUCUGCCGACGCUAUUAAAAGCAUGCUCCUUUCACAGUGUUUUUGACAGGCUAUAAAGAUUCUUUAUAGCGGUGUAUUCUUUAUAGCAUGUUUUCAUUGCCAUUGCAUUUGUUUAAUAUAUGGGAGCUUUAGUAAUACACCCAAAAUAGGAGCUGAAAUUAUAAAAAAAUCCUACAUGAAAUUCAAUUUAGAAACACACCCAAAAACCCAUUUAUUAUAUAUGAAAUGAGUGUUGAAGUUACUAUAAAUUACAUUUUUGCCAUUGAUUAACUUAAAACAAGCCCAACACAAAAAAUACUUAAAAAAAUCCAAAACAAACCCUGCAAGCUCUAAGUACAUUGUUAAUACCAUGACAUAAAAGUACAGUGUUAAUACGAUGUCAUAGAAGUACAUUGUUAAUACCAUUUCAUAGAAGUACAUUGUUAAUACCAUGUCAUAGAAGUACAUGUCAUAAAAUUACAUUGUUAAUACCAUUCCAUAGAAGUACAUUGUUAAUACCAUUCCAUAGAAGUACAUUGUUUAUACUUUGUCAUAGAACUAUCUUGUUAUUACUAUGUCAUAGAACCAUGUUGAGUCCUUUCCAAAGGCAUAAACUUCCCAGCAUCACUGAUCAACAUUGUCCUGCCAGCUCCAACAAUGAAGAAUAUUAUUAAUAACAAGAUACCUCUACAAAAAAAAAAAAAGUACACUAUUAAUACUACGUCAUAGAAGUACAUUGUUAAUACUAUAUCGUAGAACCAUCUUCCUAAUAAAAAUCACAUUCUGCAUAUCAUAAACUUCAAGUGAAUGGUAUGGAGUUGUACACUUUUAUCUUACCUAUUAUGCAAAUGAAAUGAUGUAGUUGUUAACUUCUAAAUAAUCCUCAUGAUACUGAUGGCUUUCCAAUUCGAGCAUAGGGUGCUAACAUGCCAACCAAAGCAAUGUCAACAGCUAUUCCAACUAAAAGAUCAGCAGCGUACAACUCAAACUCAGCCUAGAAAUCCUUUCCCAUUUUCUGAAAAUGUUGCACAACAAGAAUCUAUGACUAUCUACAUUACAAAAGAGUCAAGGAAGAGAAAUUUCUUCAAUAUUCAACAAGAUCAACAACUAUCAAAUGUAACGGUCCAAUUUGAAGGCAAGGUAUAUUUAAUGGAAUUCAUAGGACUAUCACCAAUCCAAACAAUGACCCACAAACUCAAUUACUGAUAUUUACAGUGAAAAAUGCAGAGCUACAAUUCUUUCAAGAGAACUAUUAAUUUACAGUCCCUUGACUUGAAACACAAAUUACUCAAAAACAUUAUUUACCAAAAAGAAAGAUCACGAAAACAAACCUCUGUCCCAACUUUAAAAAGAAAGGAAGGAUAAGCCAGCAUACGAUUUCGUAGCAUAGAGCAAUACUUCAUCAAAAAGCCCAGUGGCCAAAUUGACCCCUGAAAUUCGAAAAUAUAUAUAUAUAUAUAAAUUAGAAACCCAAUAAGUAACUUAGCAAAAACCAUAUAUCUGAAGAUUUUUCAAUAGAAAUGGAGACCAACAUACAAACAAUAAUUGGACAAUACUAGAAAAAACCAUGAAUAUGGAACCAUAACAGGAAACCCAAAGUCGUAUCAAUACCUGAUAUGUCUUUCAGGAACUUGACUCAAUAAAGCAUUAAUAACUAGAGAGUUAUCGAGGUACAAAGGCAAAAGCUUGCAAACAAAUAAAUAGUACCAACAACAACAAAAAAGUAAACAUUUCCUUACUAGAACCAUUGCAUCAAAAGGCAACCCUGCACCAGCGGAAGGAGCAACAAAAGAUGUGCUAAUUCCAAUUUUAUCAUAUGGGGAAUGAAGAGAUACUCCCAAAAAACCAGCAGGAGGUCUAGUACCAGAAGCAUUUGUGGAAUUCUCAUUCACUUCCCCAUUAGUUGUAGGCCUGAGCUGAGUAUGGACUUUCACAUCAUUAUCUGUUGCCCAGAAGAUUAUGAAAACAAAUCAAUCAGGAUGAAGCAUUUGGUUAGGGGUGCAUGUCCCAAUUUAGGACCAUUACAGAAUUCCUUGUCCUUCAUUCAAGUAAGUCGGAAACUAUCCCCUUUUCUUUGCAAAAUUGAUAGAUGAGGGAUGGGCAACAAAAACAAGCCACAAAAUUGUUCCCUCCCACAACGAAACUCAGAAAUCCUGAUUAAAAAUUCUCACACUACAAACGCAAAGUAUCUAAUGAGAAAUAGGUACCAUACCAGCAAAUUGCAUGCUUCCAGACCCAUUGUUCCUUUGAGUGUGGUGGUUGUCUUCCUAAUAGAUGAAAUCCAAGAUUACUUUAACUUCAUGCAUAAAUAUCAUCUAACCAUCACAUACAACAAAGGGCCAAAAUCCAUCACAUAUGAGCAGACAUAAUGAAAGGAAAUUCUUACUUUAGUGUUGCCAUCACUGCCAUCUGUCAAACCAUCAAUAUUUUGUUCCAAACUGCACAUGGUCAUAGAAUCAAAAUUUAGAUUGGCUACAUCCAGAGACAACAUCAUAAAACUUACUGGAAGCCACUGCUUGACAAUUAGUAUGGUCUAGGGCAGAUGACAAAUAGUUUUUCUAUUUUUCUAUUUUGAAAAAGCCCAUCUUUCACAGCAAUGUAGCUGCAAAGUAAGUCUACCCUGCUACACAUGUUUAGAUGCACACAAAAGUAUAGAUAUAUGACCUAUGAGAAACAGGUACACACACAUGCUGUAAAACGCAGGCAACAUAUAUCAGGGAUAACUCCCUUAAUAUAGUUGUCAUAAUUUAAAGUGAAGUCAAACUUCCCGGGAAAGAGACCUAUCUAACUAAAAUUAGAUCUAAAUAACAUCAAUGAGACCUCACAAUCAAGCUAGAUAAAAAAAAUCUUCAAAAAUUAUUGAAUUAACAAUCCUUUAAAAGACGUGUACGAUAUCCAUCUAAUCCUUGCUAGUGACAAAGCUCUGAACCCAGAGUAGGCAAAGGGUUCACAAAAACAAGAGAUACCCAGUGAGUCAACUCGAAACACAGCUUCAAUUAUGAAUUACCAAGGUCCUGAGCAAAUCUAAACCAAUCCAAUCUUCCAUUAAAUUGGUGAGAUGAUGGAAUAAGACCAAACCGAUGAAUAAUUUAACACUCAAUUCAAUAACUGGGGAGCUAAAGAACAAAAUCACAAAACAGAGGCCAAAUUUCAGACCAUCAAUUAAACUUUCACUCAAUUUUCUCUUCAUCCAAACAGAUGGUGGUAUCUAAUUUGUUCAAAUCCGCACUUCACCAAAUAGAUCCGCACAAAAAAUCAACAUAGUUACAACAGUUCAUCACAAAUCCAUACGUACAAUCGUGUGAUCUAUAUAUCAGUUCCGACACAGAAACAUCAAAUUCUAACAGUAUUAACCACUUCCAUAAAAAUCAGAUCCAAAAACCCAUUAAUCUAGAAACAUAAAUCGAAACCAAAUAUCAACAAUUAAAUGCAAAUAUAGAUAUACGAAAUUAAAGAUUAUGAGUCGGAGAGAGAGAGAGAGAGAGAGAGAGAGAGAGAGAGAGAGAGAGAGAGAGAGAGAGAGAGAGAGAGAGAGAGAGAGAGAGAGAGAGAGAGAGAGAGAGAGAGAGAGAGAGAGAGAGAGAGAGCAAACCAGAUUAGAAUGAGAGCUAGAGGAAAGGGCCUCGAGCUUUGUAAGUCAUCCGUGGAAAGCAGAAACCGGAAGAAAUUGGAAGCAUUUGGAUCCAGAGAAACAGAGUUGUGUAAGAAACGAAAGUGAAAAUUUCAUAACGGAGAGAAAUAACCGAAAGGUCAAAACCGUAAUCUAACAUAGUAAAUAAAUCCAAAAAUUGACAGCUGUCGAUUUUUGGGUUUAUUUUGAGUGUGUUUCUAUGUAUUAAAUAGUGUAAGGUAUAUUUAUAGUUUCAUGUCUAGGAAUGGGUUUUUCACUAAUUUUUUAUUAAUAUAUCUCUUCCAUCUUUUAAUUUGGCUGAAAGAAACAACACUAUAUAUAAGCACCACAAGAAUGGAAACGCACAUCUUCUACUAAAUAAGUUGCUGCCAAUAUUUUUCCAUUAUGAGAUAAACUAAGUAGAUCAUAGUGCACAGGAGCACUAUCCAAAUCAAGUGUAAUUGGAAACACAUAACUGCUAACACAUAAUACGUAACUGUAUUUUCCUUUUCAUUUUAGGAUAACACUGAUUACCUUCUAAUGUGGAUAAAAUAAUCUUCUAUGCUCUUGCUCUUCAUCUUCUUCGAGUCUUGUAUUUCCUCAACUACAGCAUUAUGUAUUAGUUAAAAGGGUUAGUUACAUUUUUGGUAAUUGAGAUUUGGCUCAAAAUCAAAUUUGGUAACUGUAAUUUCAAUUUUUCUGAUUUGGUCAUUGUACUUGCAGCUGUUAACAAAUCAAGUCUAAUGUCUCAAUUAUGUCAAUUUCAUUAAUUAAAAAAUAUUUAAUAUUAAGUUAAAAAUAAUUAACUUCAAUAUAAAAUUUAAGUAUAAUAUAUUUGAAAAGAAAAUUAAUAAGAUUAAAACUUAAAUUUAAAAAAAUUACCAAUAUAUAUAUAUAUAAAAUAUUUAACGGUGAGUGAUCACAAUAUCUUGGACUCCUGUGGUCAAAGAAAUUGGGACUAUAUAUAUAUAUAUAUGCCCCCUCAUCACUAUUGAAAUGAAAUGAAUAAUUGGUGGACCAAAAUUAUACUGGAGCAAAAGUUAGGAAACCAUUUCUAUCAAAAAUUCUAUUUUAUUUGAGUAUGUAAAAAAAACAUGUAAGAAGAUACAACAAUUGAUCUAAAGCUAUUGAACUGUACUAUUGCAAGUUAAAAUGCAAUUCAAUUCAAUAGAUGUAAAAAUAGUUUAGCAACCUUUUUUAAAAUUUUUUUGGGUAAAAACCAUGAGGUGUUCCCACACCCGAAGGGUAGAAUUAAUCCCUACUCGAGGUUCGGCUUGCCCCUAACUGCAAAAUACUUCCAACAAAUUUCGAACCAUUACCAUUUAAGUACUAAGUAGCUCGCUAGCUAAAAAUAGCAGUUUACCAACCGCAUCACGCUUGUGAUUGUCCAACAACCAUUCUGAAUGCUCUGAAAGACAUGAAAUAAUACAAAAGGGCUAUCUUUAUUAGACAAUGAAAAGCACGUGGUAGAGCAGUUUCAAUAAAUGAGGGUGCGUUCCAUCAACAAUGAUGCGCUGAACCUCCAUACUUGAAGCUUAGUGAGAAAAUAUAUUAGAAACUACAAAGGUUUGGAGUGUUAGGCAGGGCCUUGCAAAUGUCAGUCAACGUGAGAGUGAGGGAGUCAGUGGUGGUGAAGCCAGAGGAGGAAACGCCAAAACGGGCGCUGUGGAUAUCGGACUUGGAUAUCGUGAUUUCGGCAACUCACCUUGGAAGUGUUUACUUCUACAGGAGGCCAAACGUUCAAAACAACUGUGUCUUGGAUUCGGAGGUGCUCAAGUGCUCCCUUGCCAAGGCCCUCGUGCCCUUCUACCCGGUGGCCGGCCGCCUGAAGCUGAACGAUGAGGGACGUAUCGAGAUGGAUUGCAAUGCAGAGGGAGUGCUGUUUGUUGUGGCGGAGACUGCCUCGGUCCUCGAUGAUUUCGGGGACUUUGCGCCGACUCUUGAGUUCCGGAAGCUCGUUCCUGCUGUUGAUUAUUCCGCUGGGAUGUCCUCUUAUCCCCUCUUGGUGGUACAGGUAUUCAGAGAAAGAGAGGAGACAUUUUUUUCACUCCUUUCUUUUAUUUCUCUUGCUCAUAAUAUCAUUCGGGACAAUUCUUGAACCUGAUAUGACUUAAACUUACAAAGUAUGGUUCUGGUUUUACUCUGUUUAUGCAUCAGGUCACAUACUUCAAAUGUGGUGGAGUGUCACUUGGUGUUGGCCUGGAACAUCGUGUAGCAGAUGGCUUUUCUGGUCUCCACUUUGUAAAUACAUGGUCUGAUAUCGCUCGAGGUCUUGACCUUACAAUUCCACCAUUCAUCGACAGGACAUUACUUCGUGCCCGAGACCCACCACAGCCUGCAUUCGAUCACACUGAAUACCAACCUGAUCCACCCAUUAAAACCGGUACAAAAGCUGUAGGUGAUGAGAGCGCAACGGUAUCCAUUUUUAGAUUGACACGGGAGCAGCUCAACAUCUUGAAAGCCAAGUCUAAGGAAGAUGGGAACACAAUCAACUAUACCACAUAUGAGAUGUUGGCAGGUCAUAUUUGGAAAUGCGCAUCCGUGGCACGUGAACUUCCUGAUGAUCAAGAGACCAAACUACAUAUUGCAGUUGAUGGAAGGUCCAGACUGCAACCCCCCCUCCCUCCUGGUUUCUUUGGCAACGUGGUUUUUUCAAGCGCACCAAUUGCUGCAACAGGGGAUCUCAAAUCAGAACCAACAUGGUAUGCUGCAAGCCGUAUUCAUGAUGCUGUUGUGCGUAUGGACAACGAUUAUCUUAGAUCAGCGCUGGACUAUCUUGAACUUCAGCCUGACCUGUUACCCCAUGUUCGCGGAGCUCAUACUUUUAGGUGCCCGAGACUUGCAAUAACUAAUUGGUCUAGGCUGCCGAUCUAUGAUGCUGAUUUCGGUUGGGGUCGACCUACUUUCAUGGGGCCUGGUGGAAUUGGAUAUGAGGGGUUGGCUUUUGUGUUACCAAGUGCAACAAAUGAUGGAAGUUUAUCAGUGGUCAUUUCUCUGCAAUCUCAACGUAUGAAAUCAUUCUCCAAGUUGUUGUAUGAGAUAUAAGGAAAUGAAAUGCGUCGAAUGGGAACAAUACGUUGAACAUACUUCGGGCUUCUAUCUCGUGUCCUCUGAGUUCUGGGACUUCG
rnacentral:lncRNA from 1 species